AACGCAAGCCAAACACCCAAUUUGUUUAGGGUUUUGACUCAACAGCCUUUAAUUUCUAAGGCUAUUUCAUCACCAGUACACCAUUAAAAUUGGUGAGGGGUAUCGAAGCAGCCUUUAUUUCAUCAGAAUCAACACUCAAAGACCACUUUUACUUAUGGAUCCGCAUUUCUAACCCCAAUUUCGACGAAGAAGCCAAGGGAUCUCAUCGAUGCAUUUAGCAGAGGUAAAUUUCUCGUUUUUCUUUCUUUUCUUUUUUUAAAAAAAAAAACUAAAAACCAGACAUAUGCAAAAGAAGAAAAAAUAUAUUGAAGACGGAAGAGAAAAAUUUAAAAUCACCUUCUGAUUUUUUUUAUUCUUAGUAUUGGAUUUUCACAGUGUGCGUAAAAAAUUGUGGAUUACAUUUCUGGCUUUUAUAGCCAGAUUUUCAAAAUAAAUAAAAACUUAAAAAUCCUAUUUUCCUACUGUCGUUUGCUGUGAAAUCUGUUACUGGCUCCUUCUGGUGUAUUCUUUUGCAGGUACAGAGAAGAUGACCCGGGGAUCUCACGUGGGAAGGCGUUCCUCUGGUGCCCUUCCAGUGUAUUUCAAGAGAGUUCUUGACUGCUGGAUUUCUUUUUCUUUUUGGGAUCUUUUGGGUUUGGGCUAAAUUUAGGAUAUGGGUUUAUUAGAAUUGGGUUUUAGGUCAUGGGUUAUUUUGGUAAUUUAUGUAUUUUGAAAAUUGUAAAUGGACUUUUUUAGACUAUUUAGUCUUGGACUUUAUUUCUUUAUUUGGGUUUAUUUAUUUGCAAAUAAAUUAAAUGGGCCCGGACAAAAUUGGUUAACUACACUUAAGAUGCGAGUCACUUGAAGGCAACAUCUCUUUCUCCAGCUCUAUGAUACAUCCAUGCCUUAUUAGUUCACACUUUGACUGGCAGGAGAGAGAGCACGGGAGUUGUGAGCAUUACUAACGUGUAUUAUCUCUGGCGCAUAGAAACCGGCCACAUAUUCGACUUAGCUUAUUUUAUCGCUUUCGCCUUUUGCUACCAAACAGAUCACCAUAGGAAGGGUCCCAUCUAUCUAGGCCCUUAUGUAACUCAUCUCGCUCGACACUUUGGCCUUCUCAACACACCGGAGCAGUCUUCAACACUUACCCUCGUCGGCCAGAUGCCCCCUCAGGACAUCUCGAGCAUGAUCCAUAUAAGGAUGAUCGAGCUACGACGUAGAGUGGACCUUUUUCAGAACAGACUAUUUCAGUCUGAUGUCGAGCAGACCCAGAGGAUUUCACUGAUGAUGUUCCUCCCUAUCACGAGGAUCCACCUCAGUCACUAUAUUCGAGCCAUAGAUCAGUCCAUUCUGCUGCUAGCUCUCGAGGAGUGUCCUAUAAGCAAUUCAUGAGUUUCCGUCAGUACUGCUCUGAGCUGUUCGAUAGGCUUGAUGCGACUUCGCAGCAGAUCUGCCAGCAUUUACAUAUUACUCCUCCAGUGCCAACGAUGCACGCAUCUGACGAUGAGGACAAUUGAGUCUAUUUAUCUUUAUGUUUAUUUUUACUUUUUGUUUUUAUCUUUAUUUUUAUUUUUAUUUUUAUUUUGUUUUGUUUUUCUAUUUUAAACUUUCUUUUAAUUAUUACGGUUGUUUCUAAUCGAGUAACCCUCUUAAUCAUCUUCAGUAUUGUGUUUAUUUUCUUGUCAGUUGCUUAGAAUUUUGUACUCCCUCCACAUUUAUCUACAAUUCCGCUUUUCACUAUUCUGAGAAAUUUAUCCACCAUUCAGGGCAGUUUCGAUUAUCUCCCUUUCUUAUGAUAUUAUGUUUCUAUUAUGUUUAUAUAUUUUUGUACAUUGAGGACAAUAAACAUCUUAAGUGUGGGGAGGAUAUUUAUAUAAUCAUUUGAAAAUCCCUGAAAUAUGCCUUGUGCUUAAGUAAUUUCCUCAUAUUACUGUUAGAAUGAAUUUUUCUUCGAUUUAUGAUUCUUAUUGAUAUGUUUUAGAUUAAAUUCAUAGAUACUUGUGCAUUGAUGGUUUAAAAUUUAAGAUACUAGAGAAUCAAGCAUGACAAGUCUAUUUUUUAGAAUAAAAAAAAAUUAGGUUGUUUCCCUAAAUUGAAGUAUUACCUUGAAGUUUAAAAUUUGCAAGAUUAACAUCAAAAACCAUAAUUUUUGUGAGAUUUUGAGCCUUUAAAGCAUACAUUUUUUCGUGCUCACUUUAUUAUUGGUUACGAGUGUGUCAAUAUUGAAUUGUUAUUCUAGAACCUGCUUCGAUUAUACAUGUCGAGACCAUACCUUUGAUUUGAUAUACUGAGAUGAUAAAGGCACCAAGGUUUUAACCCACUUACCCCACAAAAAGCUUACCUUCACAAUUAACCCUUAGUGAACCCCUUUGAGCCUAACAAACUGUUUCUUAAUUUAUCCUUAAUAUUAACCCAUACAUCAUACUUUUUGAUUCAUUGAGAAUUUUUCCUAUUUUAUUGACUCCUUUUUUUUUAUCGAAAUUUGAUUUGGUUAAUUGCCUAACCAUGUUCUUUUAUUUCAGUUGUAUAAUUUUCUCUUAUUAUUCAUUCAUUCAUUCAAAAAAAAGGAAAAUAAAUAAAAUACAUAUAUGUUGAUUAUUAUUAGUUAUUUGUCUUGAGCUUAAGUAGUUAAUUUCAUAUUUUGAGAAGAAUCUCAUGUUUAUCUUUAAUAAAUUCGAUUGAUGUAAUUAUUUAGUGUUAGUUUAUUUUUCUAGUUAGGUAAUUUAUCAAUUUGAUCUCGAUUCUAACCUUCUUUUUUUACCGUUAUCCAAACCUUUAACCCAAGCCCCGUUACAACUCUUUAAAGACCUUUUAAUUUGUGUAUCAUCUCAUUUAUAGUGGGGGAGAUUUGAUUUUCAUGCAAGCCUAUGGUAAUAACUUUUCAUGUUUGACUCUUGAGUGCUUAACUUUUGAACCUUAAACACUUUGAGUGCUUUGAGUGAAUCUUUAGUGAGGAUGUCAAUCCUUUUCGAUUUUGGAUUAAAGGUAAUUAUUUAAAUAAGGGGAAAUACCUAUAUUUUCAUGCUUUAAAAAUGAUAGACUUGGAUUGCUUGUGCAUUUAGUGCUCUUUUAGUUGAAUUAUCAAGGUAUGAUUAUUUGUGAAAUUAUGAUAAAACAUUAUUGAUGAGAAUUAUGAAUUGAGAGAGUUUAAUUUUAAUUGUGAGUUGAGGAUUUUGCUUGAGGACAUAUGUGAUUUUCGAGUAUCCUUAAUGAUUCUGAAUGGUUCAAUGGGCAUAGUCAAGGCAAGAAUGAAAGGACAAACGAAACAAGUAAUAUAGGUACGUACAAAACUUAUGUGAGAAUCGAAUGAAAGUAGUGAGUUCAUAUUGUAUCAUGUAUAUGAAAUGAGAAAGAUUGUGUAUAAAUAUGUGUUAUGCCAAAAUGGAUUCAUUUAGCUAUACCGAAGUAUGAAUUGGAUGUUAAAUGAGGCAUGAGUUAUGUUGUUUUAUCUAUAUAUACAUAAGGUAUAUAACGUGCAAAAUACAGUUAGAUGAUGAUAUUAACACAAUUCACCUGGGCUAAAGAAAAUGUGAGGAAAUGUUGGUUUGAAUGAAGUUAUAUAGAUAGUUGAUUUUGUAUAUGUAAAUAUAAUCGAACUGAUAAGAAUGUUUUUUAUCCGUAUGAGCAUUGAAAUAAAUAAACUUGUGAAGCUUUGAUAAUUAUAUGAUUGGAAUUAUGGUAUAAAGAUGAAAUCAAAUGAAUUUAUAUUAUAGUAUAUGUAAAUGGAUUCAUGUUAUAAAGGUGAAAGUAUAUGUGGACAUUAUAAUUUAUGAAAAUGUUAAAUUUAUGAAAAUGUUUAAUAUAUGUUUAUUCAAUAAGUUGAGUUUAAUACUUUACGAACUUACUAAGAUUUAUAGCUUACUUUGUGUUAUUUUUCUAUGUUUUAUAGUGAUUUGAACAUUCGCUAGGGUUGGAAGCCGGUGGAGAUCGCAUCACACUAUUCGAUUUUGAUUUCGGUAUUUAUACAAUUAUAACUUGGUUAUAUGGCAUUUAUAGGCUAGUAAGUUCAUGAUAUGUUUUGGGAUAUGAUAUAGCCAUGAGAUUUGGCUAGCUUUUGAUGUAAAUUAUUUUUGUGUAUUUGACCAUUUAAGUUGGCUUGAAUUAUGUGUUUGAUAAGUGAUAUAUGUGCUUUAUAAGAUACCUUGCGAUUUGGCAUGUUUGCCUUGGUUGUUGAUAUGGCUAAAUGGUUGUUCAUUUGGUUAGUUAUUAAUUGAUAUAUCAAGGCUUGAAGAAUGGUAUAUUUUGAUAUGAUGAAUUGAUUUGUUUGAGAAGCAUGAUUUAGUUGAUGGAAAGGUUAUAGAAUGCAUUUAGAAGUUAUGUGAGUUUGAUGACUGCGACAUAUUAUUUUGGUAUGUAAUUGAUCAUGGAAUUGAGUAGUAGAGAGAAUGGCUACAUGGCAUAAUAUAUGUGUUGAAAUGGCAUGAAAUGUCUUGUUGUAGGAAGGCAUGAGGAGGGUGAAAAAUGUGGCUUAAACCAAGCCUAUUUUCAUUCCACACAGCUGAGCACACGAGCAUAUGGAUUGACCAUGUAUGACACAUGGCCUUGGUACACGACCGUGUGUCCCUUUAGGUGCCCUUUCGAAUUAAGUCAGUAUACCCUACAGGUUUGACACGGCCUAGACACACGGGCGUGCCUACUGGCCGUGUGUGGUACACAAACUAGCACAUGGGCAUGUGUUGAUCGUGUGACCCAAGUCAAUAACCCCUUUAGAUUUCACACGGCCUGGCACACAGGCAUGUCAUUGGCCAUGUGGUGCAAGUCAGUAUGUAUGCCCUGUUUUCACACAGCUUGUGACACAGACGUGUCUGGUGGCUAUGCGAGGCACACGGCCUAUUCACACGGGCGUGUGACCACUGAUUUCAUGAAAAAUUUUAUAAGUUCCCAAAGUUUUUGUAUGUUAUCGGUUUAGUCUCGAACCACCUUUAAAGCAUAUUUAGGGCCUCAUAGGCUCUCUUAAGGGGCAAUGUCAUUGUGUUAGUGUGAUAUUUAUAUGAAAUUGAAUCAUGUAUGAAAAAUGUAUAUUAUAUAUUGUGAUUUGAUCAGUAAUGCCUCAUAAUCCUAUUCAGGCAUCGGAUACGGGUUAGGGGUGUUAAGACCCUAUAGGACACUUACUGUAAUAGAUGAUUAUGUACACCAAAUUAUAAGUCUGGAAGAUUAGUAGUCGAAGUAAACAAUUUUCUCUAUAUGCUUCUUUUAUUUUUUUCUUGUUCUUCUCUCGUUUCUCUUCAUCUUCUUUCUCCCACAACAGAAUAAUGGCUACAAAUCAGGAGCCACAACAACUGUUGCUGAACAACCCCAAGCCACUCGCAUCCCUGACAAACCAAGCACUCAAGCACCAUGGAAGGUGAUGACACUGGUAAUCAGUGAACAGAUUAGUACUAGGAGAUUAGCACUAAACUUGAUUUGCCCAUUUAAGAGGGAAAGGCGAGUUUGAAGAUUUCAGUUUAAGAAUCCACAUGGAGAAGAGGAAGAAGUGCAAAGGUGCGUAGCGGCUGACUGGAGCUCAUUUCGAGCCUGCUUACGUACUUUCACGGGAUCAAGUCAUCCGUAGUUCGAAGAUUUGACUCCGUCCAGGAUCAAUGAAUAUAAAAUAAAAAUACCCUUUGUAAUGACCCGAAUUUUAUCGUUACCGAAAAAUUGUAUUUUCGGGUCUCCGUUUCUGAAAAAUGGAUUCGUAAAUAUUUAUUAAAAAUAUUUAUGAAGUAAAAUGAGUGGUUAAUUAGAGUUUAAUUAAGUGAAUUUAAUUUAAUUAAGAGUAAUUAAGUAAAAGGACCAAAUUGAAUAAAGUGUGAAAGUUAAAUUAUAGAUUAAAAGAAAAUAAAAAGGACUAAAAGGGCAAUUAUACAAAAAGUAUAAAUUGAGGCGGUUUAUCGUGAAGAAAAUCUAAGAUUUUUUUAUGUUUAGUAUAUUAUUAUAUUAUUAUAUUAUAUUAUAUUAUAUAUAUAAACUAAAGAAGCAAAUGAAAGGAAAUAGAAACAGAAUGAAACGAAACAGAGAGCAGGGGAGAAAAAGAAAGAAAGAAUGGGAGAAAAGGGAAAAUUGAAGGUUUGAAACUUUAAGCUUUAAUAGGUAAGUCAAUCAAGCCCUUUUUACUUAAUUUUGAUGUUUUAGAAGUUUUAGAACAAAGUUUUGAUGAAAUUAAGUUAAUAUUUUGAUAGUUAUUAGAUUUCUAGAUAUUGUCCAUGUUAAAUAAAAUGAUGAAUUAAGGGCUAAAUUGAUAGAAAUUCAAGUUAAAAAUGAUACAAGGAUUGAAUUGUAAAGUGAUUCAUAAGUUUUAUGCUUUAAGGACUAAAUUGAAAGAAUAUCGAAAUUAUGGUUUUAUGAUGAAAAAUAGAUAAUUAUGUCUAAGUUUGGUUAAAAAUUGAGUAUAAAUAAAGUAUGAAUUAAGAUAGAAAAGUAAGUGAAUUUAGUUAGAAUUAAAUUGAAAUUAAAGUAAAUCAACAUUUUGUACUAAGACUAUUUUGGACAGCAGCAGUAGUCUAAGUUUGAAAAAUCACCAAAAAUUGUAGAAAUUGAAUUAGAGGAUGAAUAAAAUAUGGAAUUAAAUAUUAUUGAGUCUAGUUUCUUAUAGAAGAAACGAUAUAAGCAAUUGAAUUGUAAAUUAUGAGAUAUAAUGAAUUUUGUGAGACAAGGUUAGAAUGAAUUCGGGUUCCCCUGUUCUGACUUUGGAAAAUCACCAAAAAUUGAAUAAAAAUAAUUAGAGGCUUAAAGCUAUAUGUUUAGAAUCCCUAAUGAGUCUAUUUUCAGGAGAAAUCAACGGGAAUGCUAUCCGAGUUCUGUACUGUGAGAUAAUUAAUUUUUAGUGAAGAAGGGGUGAAUUUAAAGAAUAAACUGUACUUAAUGGCUAAACCAAAAAUUCUGAAAAUUUUAUUGUAAGAAGAUUUGUGAGUCUAGUUUCAGGAAAAAUUAGCGGAUCUUAAUUUAGAAUUCUGUAACUCAAGAUAUGAAUUAGUAAUGUAUUAAUGAUUAUGAAUUGUAUUAAUUUCGUAGUCAAUGUGGUACCGGAAAUCUCGGCUAAGAAAGGACAAGACAAAGUCAACGGGAGUUAGCUCGAAAAUUACGGUUUGUAUUUCUAUAAUCCGAACUUAGUUAUUAUUUGUUAUAUUUAUAUACAUAUGGCAAUUGUUAGUGUUAGAAUUAUGAUGUUUUACAAUUAGAAUGGAUUGAUUUUGGUAUGCGAUGAAUUUAUUGAAUUUAUAUUGAUUGAAAUUAUUUUGAUUGAAUUUAUAUUGAUUGAAUUAUAUAAUAUAUAUGAUUUAUGUAGAAAUUUGAAUAUUGAAUGAAUAUUAUAUUGAAAAAAUAUAUUGAUUAGAAAUAUGAGGAAAUUUAUAUGAAUAUAUGAGAUUGUGAUACUUGAAUAUUUGAUAUUGAAAAGUGAAUUGAAUUGUAUUGAAUUAUGAAUUAAUGUGAAUAAUUGAAAUAUGUUGUUGAAUUGAAUGAAAUUGUAUGAAUUGUGAAAAUGGGUGAAUAUAAGUGAUUAUCAGAAUGGUAUAUUGAUGGAAGAAUUAUUAAAUUGAGAAAGUGAAUGAAAUACCCUAUUAACUAGUCGGGCUGAGUCGGAUAUAAUUGGCAUGCCAUAGGAUCUGGAAGUGUACGGGAUUUGCCGGCUUUAUCGAUCAGGCACUUUAUGUGUCGUAUAUCAGAUACCUCGUGUGUCGUAUCAGGCACCUCGUGUGUCGUUUUAGGCACUUUAUGUGUCGUAUACUGAUCAGGUACUAUGUACCGUUUUAGGCACAAUGUGCCGUACUGGUGUGUUUGGGUUGGAAUCCGUGUAUCCGUCAAAGUCCGGGUUUGUUAAUAGGGGUAAAUAAGUGAAAGAUAAAUCGAAUAAAUUUGAUUGAUCAAGCUAUUGAAAUGAAACGAGAAAUUGAAUUGAAAAUUGAAAAUUUAUAUGAAAUUGAAAAUAUGAACCAAAGGUUCAUGAAAUGAUUGGAGUUCGAAUUGAUGAUAUAUGAUGUCACUUGAUGAAUUAAAAUGUGAUUUGAGAUAUAUGAAUCGUAUGUUUAUAGUCAAAGCUAUUAGGGAUAGUAAGUUGAUAUGAUAUAAAUGAAAUUGAUUGUUAUUGAAAUGAAUUAAAAUGGAAUAUGAUUGAUAAGUGUAUAGUUGAAUAUAGUUUAAUGAUAUUGAAUUGUGAAUAAAUUAAGGAAAGCUAUACCGAAUAGUAAGUGAAAGAAUGGAGUAAAUAAUAAUGGAUUUAGUUAAGAAUUGAACAAUUAUGUUAUUGUGUUUAUUAUAUGAUUUGUAUAAAAUUUAUAUGGUAAGUAGUUGAAAUUUAUCUAUGAAUAAAUAAUUGAAUAAUUGUAAUUGUUAUUAUGAUCUUAAGUAUUUGUUAUAUUAUAAAUUGUUCGGAUUAUAGAAAUACCACUGAGUAUACCAUACUCAGCGUACGGUUUGUUUCCGUGCGCAGGUUAAGUAAAGAUAGUACGUUGAAUCAGCAUCCCAGGAUGAUCCCGAAUUCAUUAAGGUAAAGUAUGUUCAGUAUUGAUAGUGGCAUGUACCCAGGAUGUUUAAUGAGAGUCAUUUAGGUUGUAGAAGUAUUGAUGAAAUGAGUAAAUUAUGGUUGGCAACGGUAUGUAGUAUGAAUUUUGAAAUUUACUAAAAAUUCGUAGUGAUUCUAAAUUAGUCCCGAAUUGAAUUUACUGUUCAUAUUGGACUGCAAGGGCCCAUUAAAGGGACGACAUCUUAAAACUAGGAUGUGUGUGAAUAUUUAUUUUAAUUAAUGACCGGAAUUGGACUGUACUGACUGGUAAUGUCUCGUAACCCUGUUCCGGUGACGGUAUAGGGUUAGGGGACGUUACACAUUUAGUGGUAUCAGAGCUAUUCAAGUUUAGCCGAUUCUCGGACUAAAUCGAGCUUGAAAUUGAGUCUAGAGGUACAUGCCAUAAUUGAGUCGAAAUUGAGUCGGGAUCGGAUGCUGAUAUAUUUGUUUGGUAUUGUUUUAUAGUGAAAAUGUUAGAGGAAAAUAUCGAUGGUAUUGAUUAUGAAAUGUGUACUGGAGACGAAUAGUCUCGUGAUUAGAUGAAAACUUGAAUCAACAACACUGGGUAUAAACUCAAUGGGUAAUUAAUUACUGAAUAAUGACUGAUGAAAUAAUAGAAAAAGAAAUGAUAAAUAAUUAUUUAGAAUUAUAACUGAUGUUCUUCAGUGAGUAGAAGAAAUUGUAUCUGCUACAGUAUCUAUCCCUCCUGUUUCUUACUCGGUUCCCGAAGUGCUUCAAGGUAUAGAGCUUGUCUGAACGGGUAAGUUAUAUGCUGUUAAUGAUCUGUACAUGUAUAUAUAGUGUGGAUGAAUUGAGAAUUACAGUUGAGAAUGAUCUUGAAAGAACUAAAAUCUGGUUAGAGAAUAUUAUCGGGAUUGUAAAUGAAUUGUUCUGUUCACCGAUUAAAUGUUAGAAGGGUAUGAUAUUUCUGUUAAAAGAUUUAGGUUAUCAGUGGUAGAAAAAUUGAUUAUGUUGUGAUUAAGAAAGGGUUAUUUGGAAAUUUUCUGAGAUGAGUUCUGAAAGAAAUAUAUAUAUCAGUCAGAGAUUUCUUGAUCAGAAACAUACAAAAUUCUUGAAGCUUAAACAGGAUCAUAUAACUGCAACUGUGUAUGAAGGGAAUUUGUUUGAUUAAAUAAAUAUAUCAGAGGGUAUAUUCCGAUAGAAACUGUAUGAUACAAAUGGUUUGAAGAUGGUUUAAAUGAAGACAGAAGCUGAAGAAUAUAGAAUAAGGAAUGGAAUAUGUGUUAGACAUGAUUCUCCUGAUUAUUAUCUUAGUGAUUGCUUGAAGAAAAUUGAAAAAAACAUUAUUCAGAGUUCAAGACCGAGUAAUGGAGUUAACAGAGGUAGGUUACCCUGUAAUCUCAGAAAUACGAGUGAAAGCUGAAGUGUGACAAAUGACUUCACUGUAAAAUCUGGAGAAUGAACAUCAGCCAGGGUAUAUGUUAAUUGUAUAUGAGAAGAUUUAUCUCUACCAGAUGUCAUUACAGGUACUUUCUUCUUUAUCGACACUAAUAUGAUUAUUUUAAAUUGAUCUUGGUUUGACUAUUCCUAUGAUUACAUAAGUUCAGUAUCUAUUAAAGAUUUGUCUGUUGAGUUUGCUGAAAUUUUUGGAUUGAAGCAUUAAAUUUUUUAGAUUAGUAUUUAUGGGCUGAUAAGAUCUGCAGGAACUGUUUGAUAAUGAUACUACUAUUUUCUGAUCGAUUUGAUGUUCUUACUGUUUGAUAUAAUCUCAAUAAUGGAAUGGUUAAUUUUGCAUGAUAUGGUGUUAAAUUAUAAGCAGAAGUAUAAUAUGUUGCAAGAUCAAGAUGAUGAAAUGUUUUGUUGAAUCAGAGAAGAUUGAGCUAAUUGUCUAUUGUGAUAUUGAACAUGCCAACACAGAUAUAUGCCGGAAAGGGGUCAUGGUAUUUACCUUGUUUAUGUAUUGAAUAUUAAAAUAUUUAAGUUAAGGUUUAAAUCAAUGCAAUAGUGCAAGAGAAUUCUAAUAUGUUUCCAGAAAAGCUGCCCGAACUACUGUUGAUUGAAGAAGUUGAAUGUGCUAUAGAUUUUGUAACUGAAAUGAUAGUGAAAAAUAUAUUUGAAAUUAGAGGUUUUCUAAAACUAGUCGGUUAUUACAGAAAGAUAUGGAAUUGGAAUGAUUUGAUAGACGUUAGCAAGGUUCUGAUUAGUUGAAAGCUCAGUUAACUGAAGCACUAGUUCUGGUUCAGUCUGAAAUCCGAUAAAGAAACUUGUGAUUUACAGGAUAGCAGUGUUUUGAUGCAAAAAAAAAAGUGAAGUAAUGGUUUAUGUUACGAAAUGUUAGAAUCACAUGGGAAGAAUUAUUUGAUACCUGAUUCGGAAGCGGUUGUUAUUGUUCUUGCAUUAAAAGAUCAAGAUAUGAUAAUUAAUUAUCAUCCGAAAAAGACAAAUGAAUGUAUGUAUAUUCAAAUUGAAAGCUUUGUUUUGUGUUAUGAGCUAUGAACAUCUCACUGUUAUCAUUUGAAGAUGGAUCAAUUUUGGUAGAGAUAAAAAAAAAUUAAAUCGACUUCUUUACAGUAGAUCUGCGAAGCUCAGAAAUGUAGUAAUGAGUUAUCGGUUAAAUGGAUAUAGUAUACAGAUGAUUUCUGAUUAAACAUUUCGGAUUGGAUAUGAUGGUUGUUUGCUAUUUAAAAAUAAAAGCUGAACAGAGGGAUUCAGAACUUAUACAGGAGAAUUUGCAUGAAAUUAUAGUAGUACUAUAUCUAUGCAUUCUGGAAGAAUAAGAUGUACAGUGAUUUGAGACAGAUGUAUUGAAGACUGGGAAAAGAAAAGCAAUACUUUGAAUUUGCAUAUAAAUGUUUAUAUUAGGUACAGAUAUCUUCAGAACUGUUACAACCAGUGGUGAUAUCAAAAUGGAAAUGGGAUAUAAUUUCUAUGAGUUUGAAUUGGAAUUAUCUCUAUUUUUGAAAAAGAAUAUGCGGAGCUGUUUGAUUCGUGAAAUUGAAGAAAAGUGCAAGUAAUUCAAAACAGACUGAAAGCAACUUUUGAUAGACACAAAUUGUAUGUAGAUUUAAAAUGUCGGGAUUUCGAGCAUUCUGCCAGUGAUGCGGUAUUUCUUAAAGUUUCACAUCAGAAGAAAACUUUGAGAUUGGGAUGAAAAAGGGAAAUUGAAUUCUCGUUCUGUUGGGCCAUGUAAAAUUUUGAAAAAAAAAAUCAGACUGGUAAUAUAUUAUUGAGUUUUACUUCCAAAAUUACAAGAAAUUUAUGGGGAUUAUCAGGAUUUGGUGCUCAAAAGAUGUAAAUCAGAUCUUUUACAUGUUAUAUCGACAAAGGAUAUUGAGAUUUGACGCAAUCUAUUGUAUGAGAAAGAGCCGGUUGAGAUACUAGCCUGAGCGGUAAUGUCAUAAUAUUGAGGAAACAAUACGGGAACCGAAAGAAACAGUGAGAUCACUGAACCCCCACCUCUCUUUUAGGCAAAUUUCGAGGACGAAAUUUCUUAAGGGGGAGAGAAUUGUAAUGACCUGAAUUUUAUCGUUACCGAAAAAUUGUAUUUUCGGGUCUCCGUUUCUGAAAAAUGGAUUCGUAAAUAUUUAUUAAAAAUAUUUACGAAGUAAAAUGAGUGGUUAAUUAGAGUUUAAUUAAGUGAAUUUAAUUUAAUUAAGAGUAAUUAAGUAAAAAGAUCAAAUUGAAUAAAGUGUGAAAGUUAAAUUAUAGAUUAAAAGAAAAUAAAAAGGACUAAAAGGGCAAUUAUACAAAAAGUAUAAAUUGAGGCGGUUUAUCGUGAAGAAAAUCUAAGAUUUUUUUAUGUUUAGUAUAUUAUUAUAUUAUUAUAUUAUAUUAUAUUAUAUAUAUAAACUAAAGAAGCAAAUGAAAGGAAAUAGAAACAGAAUGAAACGAAACAGAGAGCAGGGGAGAAAAAGAAAGAAAGAAGGGGAGAAAAGGGAAAAUUGAAGGUUUGAAACUUUAAGCUUUAAUAGGUAAGUCAAUCAAGCCCUUUUUACUUAAUUUUGAUGUUUUAAAAGUUUUAGAACAAAGUUUUGAUGAAAUUAAGUUGAUAUUUUGAUAGUUAUUAGAUUUCUAGAUAUUGUCCAUGUUAAAUAAAAUGAUGAAUUAAGAGCUAAAUUGAUAGAAAUUCAAGUUAAAAAUGAUACAAGGAUUGAAUUGUAAAGUGAUUCAUAAGUUUUAUGCUUUAAGGACUAAAUUGAAAGAAUAUCGAAAUUAUGGUUUUAUGAUGAAAAAUAGAUAAUUAUGUCUAAGUUUGGUUAAAAAUUGAGUAGAAAUAAAGUAUGAAUUAAGAUAGAAAAGUAAGUGAAUUUAGUUAGAAUUAAAUUGAAAUUAAAGUAAAUCAACAUUUUGUACUAAGACUAUUUUGGACAGUAGCAGUAGUCUAAGUUUGAAAAAUCGCCAAAAAUUGAAGAAAUUGAAUUAGAGGAUGAAUAAAAUAUGGAAUUAAAGAUUAUUGAGUCUAGUUUCUUAUAGAAGAAACGAUAUAGCAAUUGAAUUGUAAAUUAUGAGAUAUAAUGAAUUUUAUGAGACAAGGUUAGAAUGAAUUCGGAUUCCCCUGUUCUGACUUUGGAAAAUCACCAUUAUUUAAAUAUUUUUAAUAAAAAUAAAAUAAUAAUAUUUUAUUUAAAAAAUAUUUUAAUAUAAAAAAUGUAUUGUACUUGUCAGAUAGGCGCGACCCAAAAAAAUAUAAUUUUCGUAUAUAAUUCAACAAACAAACUAUUUCAGUAUUUAAUUUUUUUUAAAAUUUAUUUAGGUAAAAAAUCGGCAUAAUAAAAAGAGAAAAACUAAAAUUUAACCGCUUAAAAAUUUAAAAAAGAACAUAAUGGCGGGAUCUGAUACGGACUAUAUACCUGGGUUUACAAAGUCGGCAUAAUAACGGAUAUAUUGAUAAUUCCAGUAAAAAGUUUCUAUUGCAGUUUCUUUCUUGAUAGAAUUCUAAUUCUAGUGCAAUUAAUAUGAGCUUAAUGUGCUUGAAGAUGAAGCAAGAUAUCUUUGAAAAAGAGAUCAUCACUCCUAGGGAUUUUCCCUCCGCUUAUCCGUCGCUACCUUCGUAAUCUUCAUCUUCGACAGCUUCGCAUCGGAUUUGAACUCUCGUACAAAAGCCGAAGGACCUGUUUAAUUGCAGGUCUAGCCUGCCCUUCUCUUUGGCUGCACCAUCUCACGAUGGGCACAACCUUCGACUAGAAAAGAGAAGCCGGUGGUGACAUUUUUAACAUUCUCCAUCCAGGAAACCUUCCGACUCCGACUAUGCCGAUCAAUCGCAUGAUCAACUCCCAACUACAACAACUCUCCGUCGCGCACAAUUUACUCUGAUAGGUUUAUCCCCAACAGAUCUGGCUCAAAUUUCGUACUUUUCGACUUCUCCAAUUCUCCCGCGUCAGACCAAGGAAAAGAAGAUCGUUCUAUUACUUAUCAAAGCCUUUUACGCGCCACGUUGUUUGGGCCCGAUAAGCCGGGUACUCCGGCUUCCCGCAAUAUUUUCCGGUACAAAACUGAAACUAAACGGUCUUUACAUUCGCUUCGACCUUUAGGGUAUGACGAGUCGGGCCCUGGCAUUAGCCAUAGUCCUGUUAAAGCUCCCAGGAAGGUUCCGACCUCACCUUACAAGGUGAGGUCUUUAUGCGUUUUAUGGUAAAUUGGGUUGAAAUUAGAAAAUUAGUAGGGUCUUUGUGUUGUUCCAAUAGGGUCGGAAGCGUGUAAAUUAUUGUACUAAAAAAUCACACAAAGUUCAAUUCCCAGGGAAGAGAGGUGGAUCACAUGGAUCUCUUAAAUACCAAGUCUUUCUUUAGUCAGAAUAUCCCUUCUCAAUUAUCCCAUUCAACUUUAAACAACUUGCCUACCAUUUUUUUCUUUCGGUGCCACUUGCACCUCCCAUUUUUUUGACUUUUCAACACCCCUUUUAAUUUGACUUUUCAACACUUUGUAAUAAAAAAAUUUUCGGGUUAACAUUUAUUCCUAUGCUUUGUAGGUUUUGGAUGCACCUGGAUUGGAAGAUGAUUUCUAUUUGAAUUUGGUGGACUGGUCAUCCAACAAUGUCUUGGCUGUGGGGUUGGAAAGUUGUAUUUAUUUGUGGAAUGCUUGUGGUAACAAGGUUUCCAAGUUGUGUGAUUUCGGGAUAAGUGAUGGUAUUUGUUCAGUUGGUUGGGCUCAAUGUGGAACUCACCUUGCUGUUGGAACUAACAAUGGCCAAGUUCAGGUUUGGUUAUAGGAUUUUUUUUUCUUAAAAGAUUAUUCUUGCUCCACUAUCGCCUUUGCUUGGAGUCUUCUAACCUCUGUCUAUAUUUCACUUCCAGUCUUUUGCUCAUAGGAUAAUGCAGUGAGUUAAUAUCUAUCACUUUCUUUGUAGAUAUGGGAUGCAUCUAACUGCCGCAGGGUAAGAACAAUGGAAGGGCAUCGAUCACGUGUUGGGGUGUUAGCUUGGAGCUCUUCUCUAUUAUCUUCUGGUAGUCAUGACAACAGCAUUCUUCAAAUAGAUAUACGUGCUCGGGAUGAUUUUGCCAGUAAGCUUGUUGGACACAAGAAUGAGGUGAGACUCUUACUCAUCUUCAGUUUGAUUUAGCAUGCUCAGCAGUAUAUAUAUUUUUUACCCUGACAGUUGUGUAUAUAUGCAUUUAUACAAAUACAUACAAAUACUAUUACAACUGGAUAUGGCUCAGAUUUUUCUGACAUGCAUCUCCUUUUAUUUCAUAAUUGCCACUUCUUUCUCUUGUUUGUCAUGAAUUCAUCGUCCAAUGUUUGUCAUUAGUUAUUUUGGGAAUGGUAGUAAUACUUUUUUUGUGUUCAUUCAUUUUUAUGUGCUUAUUCCCGAACUCUCGAGUCUGAAUCUCCGGUGGCUAUUUGUAGGUUUGUGGACUGAAGUGGUCUUACGAUGACCGUGAACUAGCAUCAGGCGGUAAUGAGAACAGAGUAUGUAAUACAUGUUUUUUUCCCUGUCUAAUUUAUUCCUAUAUAGACUUAUUAUAUUGUUCAAUUUUUGAACUGAUUGAAUGGGGAAUCUCUCAACCAUAUGCAGCUUCUUGUUUGGAAUCAACAUUCGGCUCAACCUGUCCUGAAACAUUGUGAGCAUACCGCUGCUGUAAAAGCAAUUGCAUGGUCUCCCCAUCGGCAUGGCCUUCUUGCAUCUGGAGGUGGUGCAACUGAUCGUUGUAUUCGAUUCUGGGAUACAACCACUAACACACACUUGAGCUGCUUGGACACUGGCAGUCAGGUGAUCAUUUCUUUUUUGGUCUCUAUCAUUUCAUGCCCCUUUAAUUUGUCCUUACACGUGCAUGGAAUGAGAAAAAACACCGAACAGAUAUUCCGCUAGUUUAUUUUUGUGCCUAAGUGCUUAAUACUGGAGUUUACAGUUAUAAUGUCCAUUUUAUGCAUGACAGAUAAGCAAUCUUGUGUGGUCUAAGAAUAUCAAUGAACUUGUCAGUACUCAUGGAUCUUCCCAGGACCAUAUAAUUGUUUGGAGAUACCCUACCAUGUCAAAGGUAUGCGAAGUUUAAAAAUAGUGUAUAUUUGAUAAUAGUUGCUCAUCAUCUACUUUUGUUCCUUUCUAAAAUUUUAUUGUAAUGAUGCAGUUGGCUACUCUCACGGGUCACACAACUCGAGUUCUUUGUCUCGCAAUCUCUCCGGAUGGACAGGUAGGUUGCUUUCCCACGCUUCAUGGUUUCUCUCACCUUCUACUCUAUAGUUGAGCUUUAUUUGUGCGUACAUGUUUUUCCUAUGGUGAAAUGACCUUCUCUUUUUUUUUUCCUUGCAGAAAAUAGUUACGGGAUCUGGGGAUGAGACACUUUGCUUUUGGAGGUUGUUCCCUGCCUCUAAAUCUCAGGUAAUGGCAAACAUUUUUGCUCAACAAAGCUUAUUUCUAUUCAGUACUGUUGAAUGCUUACUUUUUUCUGUUUUGUAUGCGAACUGUCUGCUAGCCAAAAGUUUAUAAAGCAACUAAUUUAUUUGUCGACAUGAUGUUUUUAAACAGAGCACUGAUAGCAAAAUAGGAUCAUCAUCUUUUGGACGAACCACAAUUCGUUGAUUCUAAAUCGUGCUAUGAAUUAUCAGAUUUCAUGAAGAGAUGGUGGAAGCAUUCCUCAUGCUCUGAAAUACCGAACUUGUCAGCCUGAAUCAACCCACAAAAUGUAGUCAAGUGUAGAAAUGUGGAGCAGGUUCAAGAAGUAAUUUGUGGCUAGAUUAUGAAUCCCAAUAUUCUUUUAUUUUUGAUUAAAAAUAGAGAAUUUUUUGGUUCAAUGAUUAAAAUAGAGAGUUAUUGAUAUGUAUAGAGGGAGGUGGUAUUACCUGUGCUUAGCACGAUUCUUUUUGUAAUUCAUCUUAACAAGAGGUGCACAAUUUCCAUAUUGUUUUUUUUAUGUAGAUAAUAUAAAAAAUUAAUUACAAAAAUGUGAUAAGUGAUAGAUUAAUUAUAAAAAUGGUAUGUUCUUUCACUAAUGUGUUAAACAACACUAUCUUAACAAGCAUCUUAUCAUUUGACAAUUAUUUUAGCUGAAAUUUUUUUAAAGUGACGCUAUCAAAUAGUCAAACAACAUAAAAAGAUGAAUAUGUGUAAGAAAAAAAAUAUUUUUUAAAGAGGUAUUAUCUAACACAUUGACAGCAUUGGACGGGAAUUUAAAAAAAAAAUUGAACAGAAAAAAGAGUAAGAGAGAAAAGAAUUGUUUGUGUUAUUUGUGUUGAAGUUUUAGGAAAAGAUUAUGAUAAGGUAUGACUUUUUUUGUUUGUAAUAAUAGUUUGUAUAUUAUAUGUUUAUAUUUUAUUUUUAAUAUUUAAGAUUAUAUUAUUAUAUUUUUUUAUAUUUUAUUUGUUAGUGUUUUGUGUCAACUUGUGAAACCGUUUCUAGUUAUGUGUAUGAUUGAAGUUAUUGGUUCGUUAUUAUUUUUUUAUGUUUGUAAUUUAUAUUUUACUAGAUUAGUUAUGUUUAUAUAUAUUAAUAAAGAUACUUAUGUUUUAAUGUUAUUUUGCAUAGAAUAGAAUAUUUCAAUUGCAAGCAAUCAAGUUAAGGUAAUUUAUUUUAAUAAUUUUUUGUUUAGUUGGUGAUAAAUAUUAUUAUGUGGAAACAUUAUUGUUUUAAAAUGAUAUGUUUUGUAACACCCCUUAGUUCGUCAAGAAGAUAUGACAUGUAUCAAAUAACCAGAUAGACCCUCCAAUAGACUAGGGCGUUACAAACGGAUUCAAAUCUUUUGGCUUAACUUAAAUUUUUGAGAAAACAGUUAUGAAGGUUUCCCAUUUAGUUUAAAACUAUUAUUCUUCUUUCGUCCAGUAUCACGUCUUUAAAGAAAGUAUUAAGAAUUAUACAAGAGAAGUCUCAUUAUCCAACCAUUGCCCAGCUGAGGCAUAUGCAUAAAAAAGAUAAGUUCAUAAAAUACAAAUCAAGGGAGUUUGGAAUACCCUUCCAUAUUAAGGAGCAAUUCUCCUUUUAAGAUAGAAUAAUGCAAACGACAAAGAUAAUUUCAAAAGUUAGGUGCAAAACGUAUGUAUACAUCAUUCGCCAAAUAGCCAUACAAGAUACAAAACAAACAAGUGGCUCACUCGCAACCACAGGUCUGGCGUAAUCCCCUUCAACUGAUUCCUCUUCUACUAGAAAUACGCUUGAAAAAAUAUAAGUAACGAAGUAAGAAUUAAACUUAGUGAGUUCCAAAAAUAGAUACAAUAAUUUAUAGAAAUACCGUUAUUCAACACGUAUCAAUACCCAUAAGAAAAACAAACUUAUACGUGAGAUUCUAUCGUAUAGACACAAUACCUCAAUAAUGUUAUCUACAGUUUAUUGGCAAAAUCACUUUGUCAACACAGUACAUGGACAUUUACUGUUUGUCAACUCAUGCGUUGUAACACCCCUAACUCGUAUCCAUCGCCAGAAUAGGGUUUUGAAGCAUUACCAAAAUUUAUAAAUCAAAAAGAAAGAAAUUUCAUAACAUAUAAUAUUCAGGUUAGAAACCAGUCAAAUUCAUACAUAUUGUCCCUUAUUUGAGCCCUCAAGGCCCAAAAUACAUGUUAGAAAAAAAUUGGGGCUAAUUCGAAACUUCAUAGAAUUUUUCGGAAUAUAUUAAAAAAUUUCAAAUCUACAGGGUUCACAUGACUGUGUGGCCAAGCUGUGUGACUCACAUGGCCAAGAGACAUACUUGUGUCUUAGGUCGUGUGGGCAUUCGAAAUAGGGACACAUGGCCGUGUCCCAACCCUUGUCUAUGCCUGUCUAACUCUCUGACUUGGGUUAUACGGCCAAGCCACACGCCUAUGUGCCAGGUCGUGUACCCUUUAGAAAUGGCCUUACACAUCCGUGUGCUAGCCGUGUGUCUCACAUGGUCAAGUCACAUGCCCAUGUGGACUUAAAAUGUGUCUUAAACAAUAAAUUUGCCAUUCCCUACAUGCUUGGACAUUAAUCAACUCAAAAAUCAUUAGUUUAACCAGUUCAAAACACGAUCAAAUACAUUCAAAACAUGUCAAAACAAUCAUCCUAGGUGCCUAACCAAUGUACCCUCAUUGGUACCACAUUUAUAUCAUUUAUUCAUAUCAUCAAAGCAUCAUUCAAAUCCAAUUUAUAAACAUGCCAAUUUCAAUCCAUUUUGCCUAGUUCAUAAGCACUUAAACACCAACUUAAUUUCACAUGCACAUAUCUAGAUUUGGUUCAAUUUACCAUGCCAUAAUAUGGCUUCAAAACAAACACAAGGUUAUAUAUAUACCAAACCAAUAUUAAACUUAUAACCUCAUUUACAAUCAAUCCAAAAAAUAACUAUUAUUUAGACACCUUAGGUACAUGCCGACACAAAAGAUAGACAUGACCACAUUUAUUUAAAAUCGAGAUCAUUGUUGGAUGUUGAAUCAGCGAUAAAAAAUUAAGUACCUAACCUGCGCACGGUAAACAAAAUCGUACGCUGAGUAAAACUCAGCGGUAUUUCUAUAAUCUGAAUAUUUAAAGACAUAAUAAUAUAAUAUACACAUAUAAAUUAUAAGCACAAUUGAAUAUCUAAAACCAAAUUUAUUCAUACAAUGGCAUUAGCUAUUUAAUACUCAAUUCAAAAAUACCAUACCCAAUUCUCAUCACUUGCUAUAUAAUAGUUUUUCACAUUCUAUUUUCAAUUCACUAUGUCACUUCCAUUUCUUAUACUAUGUCAUAUCAAUUUCAGUUAUAGAAUUUUAUUAUUUAUUUACCCCUAUUAACACGACUCGGACUCGGAUGGAUACACGGAUCCAACCAACACACCAGUUUGGCACCUAGUGCCUCAUCGGAUAAAUCCGAAGUAGUAACUGCGCCCAACGCUAUAUAAAUUGACACCCAGUGUCUUAUCGGUUAAACCGAAGUAAAUUGGCACCUAGUGCCUUAUCAACUCGAAGUCAAAGAAAUUCGUGAACUCUUCUUAUUCUAUGGCAUGCCAAUAUCCAAUAUUAAAUUUUUAUAUAAACACAUGAAUUCAAUUCAAUUUACAUAAAUUCAAUAAAUUCAUCACAUACCGAAUCAAUCCAUUUCAAUUGUAAAUCACAAUAGUUCUCACCUCCAAUACUUACCAUAUGCAAGAAAUCAAAAUGCAAUAAUUUUACAACUUAGUUCAGAUUAUAGAAAUACAAAUCAAGAAUUCUGAGUUAUUCGAUGUUGACUUUAUCUUUCCCCUUUUUAGUCAAGGAUUUGGUAUGACGUUAGCUACGGAAUUAAAACAAUUAAAAUUCAUCAAUAUAACACAAUUCAAUUUCAUAUUGAAAUUUCAAUUUUUACUCAAUAUUUGCCUAAAUUUUAAUUUAAUCCCUAAACCGAGACUAAUUUUUAUUCUUCACAAUUAAUUUUAUAUUUUUACACAAAUUUCACUUUAAAUUAAAUUUAACUCCCUAUUUUCACUUAAAUUCUUAAAUUUCAAAAAUUUUACAAUGUAGUCUCUAUUGCUCAAAAUUUACAAUUUAUUCUACAAUUUAAUCCUUUUUUUUUUACUUCUAGCUUAAAAAUCUAUCAAUACUAAAAUUAUUCAACAUUAAUAACUGAUAAGCCAUAAAAGUAACAUGUUUUUAAUCCCAUUCUUGAUGCGUUUUUGGAUGAUUUAUUAUAUGAAUUAGUGAAUUUGAUGCUCCUAAUCUUCUAAAUUCAUGUUUCUAUACUAAGGUGAGCAUAAGGGGGCGAAAGGAGCCAAAAAAGAGCCAAAAUCGAGCAAAAAGAGUUAUUUCCAAGAUCUACACGGCCUGGGCAUUUCUACACUGGCUGGCCACACGCCCAUGUGAGCCACAUGGGCUGGCCACAUGCCCAUGUGCCAAUCUGUGUCGAUUUCGCACCCUGCUUCCCUGUUACGUGAAAAAAACCAAAUUUUUAGGGUUUUUGAGCAUUCUAAAAUCUAUAAAUACACACUAGAAGAGGACCUAAAGGGGCACGCAGAGUAGAACGCAGAAAUUACUCGAAUAAUGUCGACGGACUCAACUCAGAAGCAGGAUCUCCUUCAAGACUGAAUUUAUCCAUUCAAUUUCUUUAAAAUUUUUUUGGGUUUUUUUUAUAUUUUGUUGUUUUCCUAUUUUUGAGAUGUUUUCCUUUCCAAGUAUGAACUAAAUUCCCUAAAUACCUAGGGAAGAUGAAACCUAUGACAAAUCUUAUUAUUUGAUUUUUCUGAAUUACAUGAUAAAUAUUUGUUCUUAAUCUCAAUUAAGUUUACUUACCUUCAUGUUUAAUGUUUUUAGGAUAUUAAUAUAUGAUUGAUGUGCUUAUUCAGUGGAGCAAAAGUCCCUGUUUACGAGUAGAUCUGGCAUAAUUUAGUGGAGUUGCAUGCAAUCCUAGAAAUAAGACGACAUAAAUCUAUCGGAUUAGAGUCAAAUCUAAUAGGGGAAUCCAUAAAUCGAGUUAAUGUAACGAUAGGGGUUUUAAUUAGAAAGAUAUUUCAAUUAAUCAACCUAGAGUCGAUUUUUUUAUUCUCAAAUGAGAUAUUAUUAUAAUUUAUAGAUUUCUACGGAUCAAGUAAAAUGACUAAAUCGUUUAAUUCAAAUGUAGAAUAAUAGGUGAAGUCUAUGUGGAUUCUUUCCUGGUAUUGUCUCUCUCAUAAGUUUUUCUUCGAUUAUUUUCUCAAUUCGCUCUCUGUCACUUAGUAAUUAGUUUAGUUAAAAUUAGAUUUUAAAACAAAUCCUUUAAUUUAUUCGGCUAAAUAAUAAAAAGAUAGUAACUACUAGUACUUUUAGUCCUCAUGGAUACGAUAUUCCCGACUCACUAUAGCUAUACUACCAUUCGAUAGGUGCGCUUGCCUUUGUCAUAUUUUAGUUAGUUUGUGACGUCAUCAAGUUUUUGGCGCCGUUACUAAAAUAUUAGGAACAAUUAAUUUUUAUUACCUUAGCCAUUUUUUUUAUUUUUAUUACACUUUAUUUUUGUUUUUACUUUUAUUUACUAACUUUUAUUUUAUUUUCUUUUGGCAGGUUCCUUUCAUUUAUGACUAGAAGAAACCCGUCAGGACCUCUAGUAUUCGACAGUGAGAUCAAAAGUACAGCUUGCAAAAAUAGUAGAGAAGCGAGGCAGAGUCGACUGAGUAUAAUAUAAGAGCAAGAGGAUGUUGUUAUUAAUACUGAGGAGAUGACAGAAAAUCAUAAUAAUCAGCUACCUCAUGUGGUUGCUGUAAAUCCUGUAAAUCUGAAUCCUGCUCAUCGUACUAUGUACGAUUAUGCCAAGCCCAAUUUAACUAGGGCUGAAUCGAGUAUUGUUAGACCUGCUGUUGCUGCAAAUAAUUUUAAACUGAAACCUAACACUAUUCAAAUGAUUCAACAAUUUGUUCAGUUUGAUGGUUUGCAGGACGAAGACCCAAAUGCUCAUUUGGCUAAUUUCUUGGAAUUCUGCGACACUUUUAAAAUUAAUGGCGCUUCUGACGAUGGCAUUCUAUUUACCUUUUUGUUGAGGAAUAAGUCUAAAUAGUGGUUGAACUCCCUACCACAAGGUUCUAUCACUACAUGGGAACAACUGACCGAAAAAUUCUUAUUGAAGUACCUUCCACUGGCUAAGACAGCCAAGCUGAGGAAUGAUAUCUCUUCCUUCGUACAAAUAGAUCUAGAGACUCUAUAUGAUGCAUGAGAGAGGUAUAAGAAUUUAUUAAGAAGGUGACCUCACCAUAGGUUACCUCUAUGGCUACAGGUUCAAACUUUCUACAACAGUUUGAACCCCUCAACUAGGCAAUUGAUCGAUGCAUCCGUCGGUGGGACUCUAAAUGAUAAAACACCUGAGGAGGCUUAUGAGUUUAUAGAUGAGAUGUCACUAAAUAAUUAUCAAUGGUAAGUCAUAAAGACAAAGCCGAUGAAAGCAGCCGGUGUUUUUAACAUUGAUGCGGUCACCAUGUUGUCAAAUCAGGCAGAACUUUUGAAUAAAAAGAUUGACUUUUUUAUAUGGUUCUAUGCAGUUACAUCUGGUGAUGCAAUACAACGCAAAUGGAUGGGGGAACCAUUUAGAAAAUCGAUCCUACAACCUAAGCACAGAAGACGAACAAGUCAACUAUAUGGGUAAUAAUUUUAGACCUCAGAAUAAUCCCUAUAGUAACACUUAUAAUGCAGGUUGGAGGAACCAUCCAAACUUCUCUUGGGGUGGUCAAGGAAAUCAAAGACAACAACCCCCUCCAGGCUUUCAACCACCUUACCAGCAGGAGAAGAAGCCGAACCUUGAGGAGAUGUUGACGAAGUUUAUUUCGUUGUCAAAAACUCGUUUCUAAAACACCGAAACAUCACUCAAAAAUCAAUAAGCGUCGAUUCAAGGGCUUGAGAAUCAAAUCAGUCAAUUGGCAAAGAUGAUUUCAGAAUGACCACAAGGUAACAUGCCAAGAAACACCGAAACUAACCCAAGAGAGUAUCUUCAUGCGAUUACUGUUCGAGAUGAAGAAGGGUUAACUAAAUUUGAAUCUGAACCGAGCUAAGAAACUGUGGUAAGCAAUGGUAAGGUUGAGGUAAGCCAAAAUAAGCAAGAUUCGGUCGGUAAGGAAUAUAAACCUCGUGUGCCAUAUCCAAAUGCGACAAGGAAAGACCAGACAAACGAACAAUUCGAUAAAUUCCUUAAAUUUUUGAAAAAAUUACAUAUUAACUUACCGUUUAUUAAAGCUCUUUCGUAGAUGUCAAAUUUUGUUAAAUUUUUAAAGGAACUUUUAGCAAAUAAGCAGAAGUUAGAUGAUUCGUCGCACGUGGAACUAAAUGCAGUAUACUCAGCCAUUUUGCAGAAUAAACUACCCAACAAAUUGAAAGAUCCAGGGAGUUUUACUAUUCUUUGUUUAAUUGGCAGUUUAAGUGUUAAUAAUGCUUUGGUUGAUUUAGUGGAUAGUAUUAAUGUCAUGCCCUACAAAAUGUUUAAGUAACUAGGUCUUGGGAAACCUAAACAAACUAGGAUGAGCAUGCAAUUGGCAGAUAGAACAAUUAGAUUUCCUAGGGGUAUUGUUGAAGAGGUACUCGUCAAAAUUGACAAAUUUUUUUUCCCAUUUGAUUUUGUUGUUCUAGACAUGGAUGAGGAUAGUGACGUACCAUUGAUUUUAGGAUGGCCCUUUUUAGCAACUGCUAGAACUAUCAUAGAUGUUGGUACAGGUGAGUUAAUACUUCGUGUAGGUGAUGACACGAUUAAACUCCAAGCUCAUGAUUUUAUUAGGAUAUCUAGUGAUCGAGAUGAUAUUUCGAGUUCUACUAAUGUUAAUAACCUUGUAGCUCAACAUUCUUUGCAGAAAACACCUCGAAAAAACGUGACAGAGCUGCAGUCUAGUUUACAUGACAAAAAUAAAACAAAUCAUGAAAAAAGAAGAUUACAAAUCGAUGAACUAGAUGAAUGGAAGACACAUGUCAGGGAGAACCUAGAAUACACAAUGAACCAAAGCGACUCCAUGACAAGCUUAAGGAUGGGACGAACCAAUUUAAAAUUGGCGAUCAGGUAUUGUUGGAUAAAACGGACCCUCGAAUCGUCACUUCAGAGCUUAAUUCAAAUGGAGCAACUCCUUUUACUGUACUGAAUAUUUUCCCAUACGAUACAGUCGAGGUAAAUCAUUCUAAAUUUGGCACUUUUAAGGUAAAUAUUACUCGACUAAAACCUUAUGUUGAUAAUAGAAUUGACAGUGAGAAAGAGGAGUUUCGACUCCGUGAACCACCGUAACCGUGCGAAUACGAGAUUAGUAGAGCUUAGACUUUAAAUAAGUACUUCUCGGGAGGCAACUCGAGUGUUAACAUUGUGAAUUUUUAAAAUUAAUUAAUUUUUAAAAUCUAAAAAAAAUGUGUGUUUUUGACCCAUACGGCCUGGUUACAUGGGUGUUUGGAGCACACGGCCUGGCCACAUGGGCGUGUGGGAUCUCACAUGGGCGUGGGAGAAGUGAAGGAAAACACACACGACCUAGCGACAUGGCCAUGUGACUGACACGGCCUGGACACACGGGCGUGUCCUAGCCCGUGCCCGUGUGAAACCUGGAGGUAAUAUUUUUUCAAAGUUAGAGAGUUACAUGGGUAAGGCAUACGGCCCUGUAAUCCACACAGCCUAGCCACACUGGCAUGUGGGAUCUCAUAUGGGCGUAGGAGAAGCGAAGGAAAACACACAUGGCCUGGCACAUGGCUGUGUGAUCCACACGGCCUGGACACACGGGCAUGUCCAUGACCAUGUGAAAACUGGGUUAAUUACCCCAACUUUAUUUUAUUUAUUAUUAAUUGUUAUAUUAUUUUUUAUUUUACUAAUUAAUUAAUUUAUUAUUCUUAUUCUUAUUCUUAUUCUUAUAUUUUAUUUUUUUAUAUAUUUUUUUAUAUUUUUUUAUAUUUUUUUAUAUUUUUAUUAUUUUUAUUUUACUAUUUUUAUUUCUAUUUUUUUAAUUUUUUACUAUUAUCAUUACAAUUAUCUUUAAGUUUAUUGAUAUCAUUGAGUUUAUUAUUAUUAUUAUUAUUAUUAUUUAUCUUUCUUUUAAAUUUUGUUUUAGUUGUUUUAUUUUUUAUUUUCUUCAACUUAUUUUCAUUAUUAUCUUUUGAAAUAUUUAUGGUUGUUUCUAAUCGAGUUAUAACCCCUUAAUCUUCUUUAUUAUUUGUGUUUAUUUUCUUGUUAGUUUGCUCGGAAUCAUAAGUUACAUUUAGAUUUGACUGCAAUUCCGCAUUUCACUAUUCUGAAGAUUUCAUCCAAUAUACAGGGUAGUUUCAGUUUUCUCCUUUUCUUAUGAUAUUCUGUUUAUAUUGUAAUUAUAUAUGUUUGUACAUUUAGGACAAUGUACAUCUUAAGUGUAGGAAGGUUAUCUAUAGAAUUAUUAGAAAAUCCCUGAAUUAUGUCUUGUGUUUAAGUAAUUUUCUCACAUUACUAUUAAUUCUUAUUGAUUUAUGAUUAUCAUUGAUGUGUUUUAGAUUAAAUUCAUAGAUAAUUGUGAAUUGAUUAUUUGAACUUUAAGACACUAGAGAAUCAAGCAUGAUAAGUCUAUUUUCAGAAUUAAAAAUUUUAGGUUGUUUCCCUAAAUUGAAGUAUUACCUUGAAGUUUGAGAUUUGCAAGAUUAACAUCAAAAACCAUAAUUUUUGUGAGAUUUUAAGCCUUUAGAGCAUACACUUUUCUUGUUCACUCUAUUAUUGGUUAUGAGUGUGUCAAUAUUGAUUGGUUAUUCUAGAACUUGCUUCGAUUAUACAUGUCGAGACCACACCUUUGAUUUGAUAUAGUGAGAUGAUAUAGGCAUCUAGGUUUUAACCCACUUAUACCAUAAGCCUACCUUUAUGAUUAACCCUUAAUAAACCCUCUUUAAGCUUAACAAGCCAUUUCUUGAUUUACCCAUUAAUAUUAACUCAUAACUCAUUUUUGAUUCAUUGAGAAUUGUUUCCCAUUUUAUUGACUCCCUUUUUGUCGAGAUUUGAUUUGAUUAGUUGCUUAACUAUGUUAUUUUGUUUCAGUUGUUAAAUUUCCUCUUAUUAUCCAUUGUUCUAAAAAAAAUGAAAAAAAAGUGAAAAAAAAAAUUAUGUUGAUUAUUACUAGUUCUAUGUUUUUGAGCUUAAGUAGUUAAUUUCAUAUUCUGAGAAGAAGCUCGCGUUAUUCUUUAAUAAUUUCGAUUGAUGUAAUUAUUCAGUAUUAGUUUAUUUUUCUAGUUAGGGAAUUUAUCAAUUCAAUCUCGAUUCUAAUAUUCCUUUUUAGCCUUUAUCCACACCUUUAACCCAAGCCCCGUUACAACCCUUUAAAGACCUUUUGAUUUGUGUAUCAUAUCAUUUUAUAGUGGUGGAGAUUUGAUUGUCAUACAAGCCUAUGGUAAUGACUUUUCAUAAUUGACUAUUGAGUGCUGAAUUUUUAAACCUUAAAUACUUUUAGUGAUUUGAGUGAAUCUUUAGUGAGGAUGUAAAAUCUUGUCGAUUUUGAAUUAAAGGUAAUUACUUGGAUGAUUUAUCAUAUGAAUUAGUGAACUUGAUGCUCCUAAUCUUUUAAAUUCAUGUUUCUAUACUUAGGUGAGCAUAGGGGGCGAAAAGAGCAAAAAACGAGCUAAAAUCGGGCAAAAAGAGCUGUUUCUAGGAUCUACACGGCCUGGGCAUUUCCAUAUGGGCUGACCACACACCCAUGUGCCAGUCUGUGUCGAUUACGUACCCUGCUUCCCUGUUACAUGGAAAAACCCAAUUUUUAGGGUUUCUGAGCAUUUUAAAUUCUAUAAAUACACACUAGAAGAGGAGCUAAAGGGGUACGCAGAGUAGAACGCAGAAAUUACUCGAAGAACGUCGAUGGACUCAACUUAGAAGCAGGAUCUCCUUCAAGACUGAAUAUCUCCAUUCAAUUUCUUUAGAAGUUUUUGGGUUUCUUUAUGUUUUGUUGUUUUCCUAUUUUUGAGAUGUUUUCCUUUCCAAGUAUGAACUAAAUUCCCUAAAUACCUAGGGAAGAUGAAACCUAUGACAAAUCUUAUUAUUUGAUUUUUUUGAAUUACAUGAUAAAUAUUUGUUCUUGAUCUCAAUUAUAUUUACUUACCUUCAUGUUUAAUGUUUUCAGGAUAUUAAUUCAUGAUUGAUAUGCUUAUUUAGUGGAGCAAAAGUCCCUAUUUAAGAGUAGAUUUGGCAUAAUUGAGUGGAGUUGCAUGCAAUCCUAGAAAUAGGACGACAUAAAUCUAUCGAAUUAGAGUCAAAUCUAAUAGGAGAAUCCAUAAAUCGAGUUAAUGUAACGAUAGGGGUUUUAAUUAGAAAGAGAUUUUAAUUAAUCAACCUAGAGUUAGUUUUUUUUAUUCUCGAAAGAGAUAUUAAUAUAAUUUAGGAACUUCUAUGGAUUAAGUAAAAUGAAUAAAUCGUUUAAUUCAAAUGUAGAAUAAUAAGUGAAGUUUAGGUGGAUUCUUUCUUGGGUAUUGUCUCUCUCAUAAGUUUUUUUUCGAUUAUUUUCCCAAUUCGCUCUCUGUCAUUUAGUAAUUAGUUUAGUUAAAAUUAGAUUUUAAAACAAAUCCUUCGAUUUAUUCGGCUAAAUAAUCAAAAAAUAGUAACUAAUAGUACUUUUAGUCCUUGUGGAUACGAUAUUCUCGACUCACUAUAGAUAUACUACCAUUUGAUAGGUGCGCUUGCCAUUUUCAUAUUUUAGUUUGUUCGUGACGUCAUCAAUAACACUUAAAAAGUUAAUAAUUGCUAAAAUUUCGAUAUGGGUCGGGCAAUACUUAACCCCAAGGUUUCAAAAACAUACAAAUUACAAGAAAAUGGGACUAAAUUGACUAACUAAUUGAACUUGGAAACUUUAAAGCCCCCAAGGCCGUGCGUGUAACACCCCUAACCCGUAUCCGUCACCGGACUAGGGUUAAAGGCGUUACCUAACAAAUCGGAACAUUUCAUAAAUAAUUCACAAACAUCAUUCACACAUAAUCAUACAUCAUUACAGAGUCCCUUACAUAGGUCAACAAGACCUUAAACAUGCUUUAGAAAGGGGUCGGGACUGAACCGAGUUCAUACAAAAGUUUUCAAAAUUUAAACAAUUUUCAAAGUUGUACAAGUCACAUGCCCUUGUGAACAGACUGUGUGCCUUACACGGCUUUAGACACUCCCGUGUGUCUAGGUCGUGUCAAAACAGGGCCUACAUACUGACUUGUCCACACGGCCACAAGACACGCCUGUGUGUCAGGCCGUGUGAAAAUUAGGGAGGCUACUGACUUGGGUCACACGGCUGUGUGUCUAGGCCGUGUUAGAAACUGACUUGGCCACACGGCCUAGCACACGCCGGUGUGCACGACCUUGUGAUCUUCCCAGGCUCAUUUCGAAAUGGCCCUCGAGCAACAUGGCUGAGACACAUACCCGUGUCUCUGCCCAUGUGGGCAAAAAAAUAGGCCAUUUAUAAGGCCAAAAUGCCACCCAUUAAGGGUCCUCCCUACAAGCAUCAAAAUUACAACAUUUUAUACCAAAUUCUCAACCAUUUCAUAACCAAAUCAUACACCAAUUAAGCCAUAACAUUAUCAACCAAUUUCAUGCCUAAUAGCCAUACCAAAUUAUGCCAAAACAUAAGACAAAAUCAUAAUUAUACAUUUGUUUCAUGAACUCAUUUUACUUCAUUCAAUCACAUGUUAUAAACUUACCAAUUUCUCAAAUAUGCACAUACCAAAACUUACCAAAAUUGACCAUUUCAUUUGGUCAUUCAUAUACACAUCAAAUAAGUAUAUUUUGCAUCAUAUAUCAUAUUCCAAAAUCAAACCAUAAGUUCAACCAUAAUUAUACACUUCACAAAACAUAUUCAACUAUCUCUAGCCUAUACAUGCCAUACUUCAAUAUUUACACUUACAAAAUGUACCAAAAUAGAGUUUGAUAGUGUGGUGAUGAUCCUCGACAAUCCCCGAGCUCUCAGUAGUUUCGAUAUCUAUAAAACAGUUGAAAAACACACAGAGUAAGCUUUCAAAAGCUUAGUAAGCCAUAUACAAAUAAACUUAACAUUCAAAACAUGGAAGCAUCAUUAAAUUAAAUACACUCCAUGGCCAAAUACCAUCUCAAACCAUAUAGUUCAUAUAAAUUUAGCAUAUUCCCAAUUCAUUUACACAUAUAGCAUACUUUCUCAUAUUUAUAACAUAUAUCAUCACUUGUACAUAUACUUACCUUUUAUUUUCAACAUAGUAUACAUUUCGAACGUACUUGAAUCGGAUAUACAUCACAUAUAAUCAUUCGUUUCUCGAAAUGUCGUUGAACUGUUCGGAAUCAUAAGGAUACGUGGAUAACUCGGAAGCUCGUACAAUGCCAACGUCCUAGAUGUGGUCUUACAUGUAAUCAAAUAUCGAUGCCACUGUCCCAGACAUGGUCUUACACGAAAUCAAAUAUGAUGCCAACGUCCUAGACAUGGUCUUACACAUAAAUCAUAAGUUGAUGCCAACGUCCCAGACGUGGUCUUACACGAUAACACAUAUCGGAUCCUAUGUCAUGACAGAUGUAUCCUAAAUAUUCCUAUGGUUCGUACAGAGCUUUUCGGACGUCAGAACUUUGUCGAUACUUUCUCGGAUAUCUCAGAUUCAAUUUAAUAAGCCAUUUAUCAUUGUUCAAUAGCAUUUAAACAUAAGUAAACCAUUACAAACACAUUUAUUUGUAUAUAGACUUACCUCGUACGGAUUCGGAUUGAUGGAAUCAGCUACUCGACAAUUUUCGACUUUCCCCGAUCUAAUUCUAUUUUUUUUAAUUCUUGAUCUAUAUAAAUUCAAAUUUAACUCUUUUAUUCACAAAAUCAUUCAAAUCAAUCCACAAACACACAUUUAGGGCAUUUUAAAAAUUAUCUCUUAUAUUUUCAUAUUUUAACAAUUUAGUCCCUAAUCACAAAAAUUACAAAAUACACAAAAUUUGCAUAUACUUAUGCUUAGCUGAAUAUUCAUAGCACUCAUACAAGUCCACAUAUUUCAUUUAUUUCACAUUUUAGUCCCUCAAUUUACAAAUUUCAUAAUUUAGUCCAAAUUACUCAAAUUCAUCAAAAAUUCAAAUAUAAAAUAUAUCAACCUAACACAUAUCUUUCAAUUUCUAUCAACUAACUUCACAAAGCUCACAAUUUCAUCAAUGGAAUAAUUCAAAAUCAUCAUCAAAAUCAUAAAUUUAGGCAUGGGCUUGAUAGAACACUAAGCAAUGAUCACAAAAAUGUAAAAAUUAUCAAAAACUGAGUCAAAACCAUACCUUAAUCAAGUAUUGUGAAUGCCAAAUGCUUGAACCAUAGAAAUGGUGUUCUUAUUCUCUUAUUUUAGGUGGAAGAAGACUUAAAAUGAACUAAUUUAAGCUUUUCUUUUAUUUAAUAUAUCAUUUAUAACUAGUUUACCAUUUUGCCAUUGCAUCAUAUCAUUAAUAAACCAUUAUCUAAUGCCCAUUUAAGUCAUUUAAUGCAUGCCAUGGUUAAAUAACCACAUAAGGACCUCAUAUUUAAAGAGACACCUCAAAUAGGCACUUGAACAAACAGCAGGCAACUUUUAUGCUUUUCGCGAUUAGGUCCUUUUAUCAAAUUGAGCACACAAAUGAUUAAAUUUUCAUACAAAACUUUCACAUAUGCUAAUUCACAUAUCAUAAGCACGGAAAAUGAUAUUAAAUAUUUUUCUGACUCAGAUUUGUGGUUCCAAAACCACUAUUCUGUCUAGGGUCUAAACCGGACUGUUACAGUGCACCUAUUCUUUCUUCUAUUCUUUCUUUUUUUCUUUCUUUUUCUUUCUUAAUUUUGAUUUGGCCUUCUUUUUCUUUAUUUCUUUUGUUACUUAUUUUUUUUAUUACAAUUAUAUAAUAUAUAUACUUAAUACUUAAGAUUUCAUAUUAUAAUAUAUAUAUAAAAUAAAUUUACAAAUAUCUUACCUAAUACCAUCCUACUAAAGAGACAAUGGUAUAAUUGCCUCUUUAGUCCCUUUAAUUAUUCUUUAAUCUAUAAUUCAACUUUCACCCUAUUUAUACCUAAUUACUUUUAAUUCAAGUAAUUUCACUUAACUGAAACCUAAUUAACCACACAACUAGCUUCGUAAAUAUUUUUAUAAAUAUUUACGAGUCUGAUUUACGGGAACGGAGUCUCGAAAAUGCACUUUUUGACACCCAUGACUAUUGGGUCGUUACAUGCGCAACUCUCACAAUUAUGCAAGUUUACAAAUGACUCUUCCUUAUGCCAGCCUCGGACCCAUAAUUUAGAAUUCAGAAUCACAAUUCAGUUAUAUUCAUAUUCAUAUCAUCCUUGUUAAGUUGAACACGUAUUCUAUCGCAAGGCUGAGCCAUGAUCUAUUGGUCUGGUUUGCAAUAUAAUUUCUUUACUCGAGGCAUUACAAACAGGUUUCCUUUCUAUAUUUUCAUAUAUCACAAUUUUUCUGGUACUGGGUUCGUGCAACAAAGAGGGUGUUCUUACCUUGAAAAGGACCAUACUCAUACAUACAACGUUGGUUUAUUACACAUGCGUCCAAACACAGCACAAUGACUCAUUUAUAGUAGAGACAACUUACUGUACACAACUUACAUAUCAUGGAAGUAUCAUAACCCAAAGGAAGUAAGAAGGAACUCACAAACAAACUUUAGAAUAGAAUCUACUCUACUUGUCUUUUGCUUCGAUUGCACAGACCUUCACUAGCUUCUUGAGCUAAAUAAGAAACAAUUAUAACUAUCAGAUCGUUUAUCUAAUUUAAUCAUACAUACACUAAUGCAAAAACAUAAAUCCCUUCAACAACAACCUAAGGGCUUUCCAAAAAUUACUGGUAAGUUGGUACUUAAAAAUGGUGUUUUGACUAACUACUGGAACCAUUUUUGUCUUCUGUGAUGAAGAUAACUUAAAAAUUUCCAGAGACUCAGAAAAAGAUGUAGAGAAAAAACAAAGGUGAAACAUGUUGACUAUCGGCAUCCAUAUAUAGCACGAAUAGCGGGGACAAAGCUUAGUGGGAGGGUCAGAAAAUCCCACUAUAACCUUUGAAACCCGAGAAAAGACUUGUCUAAAAUUUUAAAACCUAAUUAUCUACCAAACAUAACUACUACCACUAAUCAGCUUAGUGAGUAGUAAAACGUUGCUUGCACACUAAAAUAAGUCAACUAAACAAAUUAUUUAGCUACCUAAACAUAUCAAACUGUCAUCUACAGUACUCUAGUUCAAUCUAACUAGGUCUCAACUAAACUCUAACGAUACUCACCAAGUCAUGUUUUCACACUAAAGUACAGAAAACAAAACUAUCGAUCCGCGAACUAAUAAGUUCACCUAAAGUAUCUAGGGUUGGUUAAUUGUCUCCCAAAAGAGUCCACCAAAUGGCAAAUUCCAGCGAGACAUUUAGCAAAAUAGGCGUACUAUGAAACCCAUGCAAUACGCCACCCAGACACUUAACGGAGAAUUUACCAACCUCAUCCUUUUUCUACCCUGGCUUUUUCAACUAUGUGCCAAACAACAUAUCGAUACAGUCUAUGUGGGGUGGGCUGUUACAUUUUUAUUCAAUUUUUUGUGCAGAUAUUGAAAUAAGUUUAUUGAUUAAAGCAACCAAUUAUACUGUCAUGAUGAUUAAUGUGUCGAUUAAAAAAAUUGCUAUUUGCUAUUCACGAGUAUUUUAUAAAUUUGCACGUCAUUGUUUUUUUAAUUGACAUAUUUAACUAAUAUGGUAAUUUGUUAUGGCUAGGGUGAGUACUACAUCUUGAGAGUGUGUGUCCAUGGUCUGAGCUACCUACUAGACGAAUGUAUUUUCCCAUAUUUGGAUGCCGCAAGAUUUGAAAUAGUGGCAUUGAUUAGGACGUUUGAGCUUAAGGCUGACUUGAUAUCGGCCUUGGUUGAGAGGUGGCGCUUAAAAACCCACACAUUUUAUUUGUUAUGUGGGGAGUGCACCAUUUCCUUAAAAUAUGUUGCAUUGCAACUUGGGCUCCCAGUUUACUAUGCUACAACCACGGGUUCAAGUAAGGUGAUCAAACCUGCGUCAUUUUGCUAUCAGUUACUUGGACGAUCAUCAGGUGAUGGUGUUGCUAAAUUUACCAAUUUAAAAUUUUCUUAACUCAAUCAAAAUUUCAAAACUUUACUGAGUAUUGUCUCUAAGUGUGGGAAGAUGUGCACUGUUUGGGUGUAUAUAAUGGAGCUGAUAGGGAGUACUCACGAUAGACUCAUGUAAUAAUAAAGUCCACAUGAUGUAUUUGUCUAUGUUGGCUGAUUUUUCCAGUUGUCCGUUCGUAUAGUUGGAGUUCAACAGUAUUAGCAAUGUUGAACUGUGAGCUUUGUCAGGCGACAAAGCACGAUACACAAUAUAAAGGUAAAAUGACAUUUUUGGCAACAUUGAGUCACUAAAAAUAUGAUUUCUCACUUGUAAAUAGGUGAAAAAAAAAAUUAAAACAUUGAUUAAAAAUUGUUUUUCAUGAAAAUAUUGUCUAUCAAUUUUGUUUUCUUUUAGAUGGUGUAAUUGUUCGGGGAUUGGGAAGUCGAAAACCCUUGCUGUGUAUAGACAAAUGAUUGAGGCAUGUACUGGAGAUGUGGUAAAAUUUUUUCAAAAUAAAAUUACAUUUAUGUCAUUUAUUAUUUUAGUUAUGUUAUUUUAUUCAUGUCAUUAUAAUCAUGAUAUUAAUUGUGCAGUUCUUAUGGAUGUAAUAUGUUGCGGGUGUAAUUGCCCAGUCGACUUACCACCAUUCAUAUGUGUGGUGCAUUAAAACACUAACCCUAAAAUUUUCAAUCGUUGAAUGGUACAACAGAGACCGGGUUCUGUGACAAUUCAGGUGUAAGCAAGAUAUUCUAGAUGUUCUAAUCAACUUUGACAAUGUCCACGGCAUUAAUAAGAGGGGAAAAGAUGUAAAGAAUUGAAAAUUGGAGAAUCGACAAUGGAUCAUAAUAUGGAAUACUUGGUUGGAUAGGAGGCCUCAAAUAAACUCUUGUGUGGGGGGUUUCACACCCUCGGUCCAUUACUAACAAUGGUAUAUGGAAAAUAGGUUGUCGUAUUUAAUUGGUGGUUGAUGAUAGUUCCUGGACACAUGCACUGACGAGGACAUCAACAAAGUGUACCGAGUCACUCCUAUCCUCACUGAAAACACUCUCCUCUUGCUCUCGGGCCUAAACCUAUAGCUGUCGAAGAAAAUGUAAAGGAUAAUGAGUAUUCGGUUCAUACACAAACAUAAUCGCAACUUGUGUAUGAGUUUUUGGGUACAUCAAUAUCCAGACUAGUUCUUACCAUCUGGAGUUGCGUAGUGACAGUUUUGCGUCAGAGCUCUAAGGCUACUCAUAUUAUACGUAGAUGUUCGGUUCCAGUUCUCAUUAUCAACAAUUGGGGUCAUCAAUGAUGGAUGAUAUGUUUAGCUCUGCAUUCUAGUACUUCACACCUACCUGUCAAAACCUUUAGGACAUCAAUUUUUCGGGUUACUUUGAUACACCCCAAGGUUCGUCAAUGGAUGAUAAGAAUGCAGGUUCAGGGGAGGAAAACAUUAAACUCCUAAUAAACCGUCACGAACAACCCAGAAGUCAACGAAGGGCACCAUAAUGUUUUAUCCUGCAAGCAACUCCAUCUAACCAUCAGUUUUGAUUAAUGAAAAUUGUUAAGUGAAUUUAUACAAAUUCAAAUAAGGUUUCAUUUUUUUCCCUUUAUCUUAAACAUGACAAGGUUGGUGUUAUGUCAAUCAAUUUUGAUUAACAUUUUAUUUUUCCAACUUCAACAUCAGUUUCCAUUAUAAUUAUCUGUAUACUGAUAAAUCAUAAUUUAUACAUAUUUUUAUCCCAUGCUUAGCAUAUUUUUGGAUGAAUUAUCCUUAGAUUUGGUGAAUUCAAUGCUCCUAAUCCUUUAAUUUCAUGUUUUAUACUUAGGUGAGCGUAGGAGAGUAAGAAGAGCGAGAAACGGGCCAAAAACGGAGAAAAUGGGUCAACGUGGGAAAUUAGCACAGCCUGGACUUCCUCACACGGGUAGUUCACAUAUCCGUGUAGUUUUAGUAGACUCUAACACGACCUAGACUUCCUUACACGAGUAGACCACACGCCCGUGUCUAUUCAACAAACUCGAACACGGGUUGAAGCACUUGCACACGGGCGUGUACCUGUCGAGCCCAAGUCUAGUCUUAUUCAGAAAAGGUCACUCUUGAGAUUUUUGAAGCAUUCAAAAGCCUAUAUAAACACUCCAAGAGGUACCUAAGAGACACACAGAGGGUAGGAACCAAAGAAUUACUCGAAGAAAGUCGAUUGAUCUAUCUCAGAAGCCGCAUUCUCCUUCAAGACUAAAGAUCUCCCUUCAAUUCCCUUCAAGAGUUUUUGGGUUUUCUUUAUGUUUUGUUAUCAUUAUUCUUUUGAGAUGUUUUCCUUCACACUUAUGAACUAAUCCCCCUAAAUACCUAAGGGGAAUGAAACCUAAGAUGGAUCUUGUUAUUAUUUUCUGAAUUAUAUGAUAAAUAUUUGGUUUGUUCUUAACUCUUGUUUUAAUAUUUCAAAAUAUUGAUCCAAGUAUUGAUGUGCUUAUUUAGAGGAGCAAAAGUCCCUGUCUAAGAGUAGAUCUAGCAUAAUUGAGCGGAGUUGAUUGCACGCCUAGACAUAGGGUGACAUAAUUUUAUCGGAUUAGGGUGAAACCUAAUAAAGGAAUCCAUAGAUCGAGUUAAUGCAACACUAGGGGUUUUAAUUAGAAAGAGAUUUCAAUUAAUCAACCUAGGGUUAGGCGUUAUUAGUCUCGAGAGAGAUAAUAAUAUAAAUUAGGAAUUUCUACAGAUCAAGUCAAAUGAAUAAAUCGUCUAAUUCAGAGUCAAUAACAAGUGAAGUCUAGGUGGAUUUUUCCCUUGGGUAUUGUCCAAAUCAUUCAGUUUUCCCACAAGAUAUUUCCUCAAUUUACUUUCUGUGCAUUCUUAGUUAGUAAUUAGUUUAGAUAAAACAAACCCCUUUAUUUUUAGGCUAGAUAAUAAAGAGAAAUUUAAUACUAGUACUUUUAGUUCCUUUGGGUUCGACAUCCCAAUCUUGCCAUAAGCUAUACUACUGUUCGAUAAGGUGAGCUUGCCUUUGUCGUGAUAAUAAUUAGUUUUCAAGAACGGACAUUCAUAAAUUAUAAAACUUAUCACGAUUCACAUCAAUCAAGUUUUUGGCGCCGUUGCCGGGGAACUAAUAUAUUAGGAACACUUACUUUUUAUUACUUUAGCCAUUUAUUUUAUUGCAAUUUAAAUUUUAUUUUGAUUUUUGUUACUAAAUUUUCUUUUUCCUUCUGGAAUGUUUUUAUAGUUUAGAAGAAACCCGUCGGGACCAUUACUUUUUGAUAGUUAGAUCGAUCGCACAGCUCACAGAAACCGAAGAGAAAUAAGACGAAGCCUAAGAUACACAGAGGAAGAGCAAGAAGACGAUACUUCCUCCACAAUCGAGGAGAUGGCUGAAAAUCAGGAAAAUCUGCUACCUCCUGCAAUUGCUGCUGAUCAAGUAAAUCAGAAUCCUGCUCCGCGUACUAUGUAUGAUUAUGCUAAACCUACUUUAACAGGCACUGAAUCGAGAAUAGUUAGACCUACUGUUGCUGCAAAUAAUUUUGAACUAAAACUUAACAUAAUUUAAAUGAUACAAUAGUUUGUUCAGUUUGAUGGUUUGCAAGAUGAGGAUCCAAAUACUCAUUUGGCGAAUUUUCUAGAGUUUUGUUACACAUUUAAAAUCAAUGGCAUUUCUGAUGAUGCCAUUCGCCUUCAGUUAUUUCCCUUUUCAUUAAGGAAUAAGGCUAAACAGUGGUUGAACUCAUUACCAUGAAGGUCAAUCACUAUUUGGGAAUAAAUGACGGAAAAAUUCUUACUUAAAUAUUUUUCGCUGGCUAAAACAGCUAAGUUGAGGAAUGACAUCUCUUCUUUUAUGCAGAUGGAUCUCGAAACACUCUAUGAUGCAUGGGAGAGAUACAAGGAUCUUUUGAGAAGGUGCCCUCACCAUGGAUUACCACUCUAGCUACAAGUUCAAACUUUUCACAAUGGCCUGAAUCCUUUGACUAGACAGAUGAUUGAUGCAGCUGUUGGUGGGACUAUCAAUAAUAAGACACCUAAGGAGGCUUACGAAUUUAUGGAAGAGAUGUCACUGAAUAACUAUCAGUGGCAAGUCAUGAGAAUAAAGUUGACAAAAGUAGCUGGUAUUUUCAACCUCGCUUCGGUCACCAUGCUCUCUAAUUAGGUAGAACUUUUAAACAAAAAAUUUGACAGUUUGUGUGGUCUUACUAAGGUAAAUCUAGUGAUGAGGUGCGAUUCAAAUAGAAGAGGAGUGCACACAGAAUAUGAAUCCUUCAACCCCAACACCGAGGAGGAACAAGUUCAAUAUAUGGGUAACAAUAAUUUUAGACCUCAAAAUAACCCAUACAGUAACACAUAUAAUGCAAGUUGGAGGAACCAUCCCAAUUUCUCGUAGGGUGGUCAAGGGAAUCAGAAGCCACAACAUCCUCCGGGUUUUCAAUAACCACCUUACCAACAGGAAAAGAAGCCGAACCUUAAGGAGAUGCUAACAAAGUUUAUCUCAGUGUCAGAAACUUGCUUUCAAAAUACCGAAACAGUACUUAAGAAUAAACAAGCAUCGAUCCAAGGGCUUGAAACUCAGAUAGGACAGCUCGCUAAACUAAUUUCUGAACAACCACAAGGUAGCCUGCCAAGUAACACUGAAUCUAACCCAAGGGAACAACUCAAUGCGAUUACCAUUCAAGAGGAGGAAGGGUUAGUUGAACCUGAACCAGAACCGAGGCAAGAAAUUGUGGUAAGUAAAAGUAAAGAUGAGGUAGUCUACAGUGAGCAAAAAUCAGUAAGUAAAAAGUACAAACUACGGGUACCAUACCCUAGUGCGACAAGGAAAGACCACACGGAUGAACAAUCCGAUAAAUUCCUUAAAUUAUUAAAGAAAUUACAUAUUAACUUACCGUUUAUUGAAGCUCUUUCGCAGAUGCCAAAUGCAGUUAGAUUUUUAAAGGAGCUUUUAGCAAAUAAGUGGAAGUUGGAUGAGGCGUCGCAUGUGGAGAUGAAUGUAGUUUGCUCAGCCAUUCUGCUGAAUAAGCAGUCCAACAAAUUGAAAGAUCUAGGGAGUUUUACGAUUCCUUGUUUAAUUGGUAGCUUAGAUGUUAGUAAUGCUUUGGCUGAUUUAGAGGCUAGUAUUAAUGUCAUGCCCUAUAAAAUGUUUAAACAACUAGGUCUUGGGAAACCUAAACAAACUAGGAUGAGCAUUUAGUUAGCAGAUAAAACAAUUAAAUUUCCUAGGGGCAUUAUUGAAGAUGUACUCGUUAAAAUUGACAAAUUUAUAUUCCCAAUCGAUUUUGUUGUUCUAGACAUAGAAGAGGAUAGUGACGUGCCUUUAAUUUUAGGAAGGCAUUUAUUAGCAACUGCUAGAACUAUAAUUGAUAUUGGUACAGGUGAACUCACACUUUGUAUGGGUGAUGAAACAAUCACUCUUCAAACUCGAAAUUCUACUAAUACUGAUCAUGUUGUGCAAUCUUUUUUGUAGGAAACACGUUCGAAAAGCAUACAUGAGCCUUAUUCAAGUAACAACAAAGGACCCAUCUAUGAAGAACGAAGGCUACAAAUCGAGAAACUAGAUGAAUGGCAGACACAGAAAUCGAGAGCACACGAUAGACCAAAACCAUGCCAUGAUGAGCUCAAUGUUUCACCAAAUCAACUUAAGGUUGGAGACAAAGUACUACUAAAUGUAAUAGACCCUCGUAUUGUCACUUCUAAACCUAAUGGAGCAAUCCCUCUUACGGUACUCAGCAUUUUUCCAUAUGGGACAGUCGAGGUAAUUCAUCCUAAAUUCGGCACCUUUAAGGUAAAUCCUACCCUUCUAAAACCUUAUUUUGAGUUUGAUAGCAGGAAUGAGGAGUGUAAACUCCUUGCACCACCAUGACCACGCAACAGAGAGGUAAGUCGAGCUUAGACUAUAACUAAGCGCUCUUCGAGAGGCAACCCGAGCACUAACAGUGUUAACUUCUUUAAAUUUUAGUUUUUAACAUUUAAAUCAUUAACUGAGUACUUGAACACAGGUUUUCCAAAAAUUACACGGCCAGACACACGGGCGUGCCUUAGGCCGUACUCAUACCACAGACGGCAACAUGGUCGUGAGAUACGGCCUGUGAAAACAGAGUGAAAGUUUUCCCCAACACGGGAUUCGAUACAUUGCCAUGGUAGUGCGACAUGGCCAUGGACGAAACUGUCAAAACAACACGAGCAUGCGACACGCCUGUGUCUAGAAGCCAUGGUUGAAACUGAAAAAUUAACAUGGGCGUGCAAUACACCAAUACUCACUACCCGUGGUCGAGACUGUCAAAACAACACGGGCAUGCGCAUACAUACACGGACGUGGGAGAAGUGAACAAAGAAGAACACGACUGUGGGACACAGCCAUGUGCAUCAACACGCCUAAAAAACACGGGCGUGGGCCGAAUUUCAAACGAGCCCAAAUUUGAAAAUCAUGAAACACACGGGCUAAAAUAAGGGCACACGAGUGUGCCUCACGGCCAUGUUCCCCAGUAUCUAUAUAAACCCCUCACUAUUCAUCAUCCCCUUCCUCAAAAAAACCCUAACCUUAGCAGCCAAAAUCCCCUCUCCCACCACCGACCGGCCACUCCUUUCUCUUUCUUCUUCUAUUUUUCUCCUCUCUCCCUCUCUUUUAUCCCCUCUUCUCACCCUUGCACACCACACAGCCUCAUUGCCUACGCCCGUGGCCGACCACAUCACUCCUCCACCAAGCACUAUUGCAUUUGUCCAUUCUUUUCUCUCUAUUCUCUUGUUAUUUAUUGUUAUUUCUUGUUUAUUUGAAUGUUUCUGAUGAUAAUCAUGCUUAUACUCUUUAUUCUUAUUUAGAAACUUGUCAUUUUAGUUAAUGCAUUAUGAUACAUUCAUCAUUGUGUUUCCAUAGAUUUCAUGCCAUAUUCCAUAUUAUCAUUACCAUAUGCACUAGGUAUUUCGUUAGCACUAUUCUUGUAUUCUUAAUGUUAAUAAUAAAUUGAUAUAUCUAUUAAGACUUAGUUAUUUUCAGUAGAUUUUCCCUUUAGUCAGUAACCCUUAUGAAGUAUUCUUGUUUAGUUUUAACAUGCCUACAUACUUUUAUAUGCUAUUCUUUGGGAUUAUUCUUAUAACUUCGUCUUUUCAUUGCAGAUACCAUGACGAACCCAAAAGGCAAGAAGACUGUCGUCCUCGUCUUAAAGAAAUGAAAAGGAGCAGCAUCCUCAUCGGGUCCCACUAUCGAGAUCAGGCACCCAUUCCUCCAAUUUCCACCGGGACCACAUGAGGAACUUUUUCAGAUAUUACGGGCUCGACACCUAGGUGUGAGCUAUUGCAUCAACUGGACCGCUUUAGAGUAGAUCCAACUGGCUGACGCUGUUCGGGCUCUCCUAAUGACUGACCCGUGGGGGCUUUUCUUUGAAAUCAUCGAGCCGACGUACCUCGAGCUCACACUCAAACUUUGUUCAACCUUCCACCUUCAAGUCAUCAUGACAGAGUUUGAUGAUCCUAGAAUGGUCCAGUUCCGUAUCGGUAGUUUAGUCUGUCAGUUGAGCGUACCUGAGUUCGGAGUCACACUGGGACUAUAUACGGAGGAAUUCAUGGAUGACGAAGACUUCGACAGCCUCCAUCUCCACAUCCACAACUCUCCAUCAAAAUGUUAGAAUGCUCUAGUCCCUACCGCGGCCACCUCUAACCCCAACCGCUCCAAGGCAUCAGCUCUCGCCCCAUCCCUAAGAUAUUUACAUGCCAUCCUAGCCCACACCUUGACAGGGCAACGAGAGAGUAUCGACGUCGUCAACAUUCAUGACGCCUAUUUCUUAUGGAGCAUGGUGUAUGGACACGUCUUCGACCUUGUCUAUUUCAUCGCCCUCGCCAUUCGCCAUCAGACGGAGCGGCACAGAAGGGAGUCAUAUCCAUCGGCCCUUAUGUGGCCUGGCGCGGUAUUUUGGUCUUCUCAAUACAGCGGCGUAAACAUCCUCCCUCACCCUCAUCGAUCAAAUGUCCCCACAGGGCAUCUCGAGUAUGCUAUAUAUGAGGAUGAUCGAGUGACGACAUGGAUCUGAUCCUCCCCACGCCUAGUCCAGUCAGCCGAGCAAGAGGACCUAGAGGACAUUACUGAUGAUGUCCCUCCACCUUACAAGGAUCCAGCCUCUCAGCCACCACCUAUUCAUCGUCCAGUUCAUGCGGCGGCUUCACUUUCUGACAUCUCUGAGCGUCUCACUCGAUUCGAACAGCAGUGUUUUCAGCGCUUUGAUCACAUUGAUGCUAUCUUACAUCAGAUUUGUCAGCACCUUCACAUCUCAUCGCCACCCCCACCUCGCGAACCAUUUGGCGAUGAAUAUUUUUAAAGACUUUUUAUUUAUUAUUUAUAUUUUUACUUUUAUCUUUAUUUAUAUAUUUAAAGUACUUUUUAUUUUACUUCCCUUUAAUACUAUUUCAUUUUUAGGUUUUAUAAUUUAUAUUAGAUAAUUUAUGUUUUCGGCUAUUUCUUUACGGGUAAUUAUGUUUCUUUAUAUUUCCUAAAGAGUUAGUAAUUUUAUCGUAGUUAUAAAAAGCUCCAAAGCUCACUGUUACUUAGGAAUUUGCAACUCCACUGAAAAAAGUUCUCCACGACUGCUAUGUCCUGCCCUACCACCAUGAUAACCUCUUCGCUGGACACUGUGGUUGUGUUGAUAACCCAACCUCUACCACCACCGGAGUAUCCUCCUCCACUCUCAUCAUUGCCUUGGUCGAUUAUUCUCCAUAACUAUAAGGAAUUCAUCCACAAAUUUAGGAAGUUUCACUUCUCUUCCUCUCUUAUUUCUAUAUUUUUCAGUAAAUUUCUUUGUACAUUAAGGACAAUGUACAUCUUAAGUGUGGGGGGUUAUUCAUAUCAUCAUCAGAAAAAAUCCCUGAAAUUUGUCUUGUUCUCAAAUAAUCUUCUCAUAUCAUUUUUAGAAUAAAUUUUGAUUAAUUUGUGAUUUUUAUUGAUAUGUCUUGAAUUAAAACAUAGGCAUUUAUGCAUUGAUUGUUUAAACUUUAAGGAAUUAAGGAAUCAAGCAUGAAAAGUUGAUUUUUGAGAAUUAAAAAUUAUUUAGGUUGUUUCCCCAACUUUAGGUAUUAUCUUGAGUUGAAAUUAACAGGUUUGACAUCAAAAAGCCAUAAUUUUUGUGAGAUCUUGAGCCUUUAGAGUAUAUAUUAUUUCCUUCAUACUCACUUUUAUUGUUGCUAUGAGUGCGUCAAUAUUGAAUUGUUAUUUUAGAACUUGCUUGAUUAUGCAUGUCAAGACCACACGUUUGAUUUGAUAUGUCAAGAUGAUAAAGGCACUUAGGUUUAACCCACUUACUCCAUAAAAGUCUACCCUCAUAAUUAACCCUUAGUGAACCCCAUUGAGCCUAACAAGCUAUUCAUUGACUUACCCUCAAUAUUAACCCAUAACCCAUUAUUGUUGAAAUCCCCUCAUUUGAUCCCUAUUUUUGUCGAGAUUUGAUUUGAAUAAAUUACUUAGCUAUGUUUCAUUUUUGAUAGUUAGCAAAGCUUUAUGUUAUUUUGACUUGUUCUUAAAAAAAAACAUACAUAUUAGUAGUAACUUUUUAUUUUUGAGCUUAAGUAUUUAAUUCCAUAUCCCAUGAAGAAAAGCUCAAUUCUAGGAUCUUCUAAUUAGGAAUGUAAUAUAUCAAGUUUUAGUAUUUUUCUAGUUAGGUAAUUUUUCAAUUCAAUAUCGAUUCUAACCUUCUUUUUUAGCUUGUAACCACACCCCCUAACCAAAGCCACGUUACAACCCUCUAAAGACCUUUUAAUUGAUGUAUCAUCUCAAUAUAUAGUGGUGGAGAUUUGAUUUUCAUGCAAGCCUAUGGUAAUAACUUUUCAUAUUGACUAUUAAGUGCUAAAUUUCUUGUCCUUAAACACCUCGAGUGAUUUAAGUGAAUCUUCAGUGAGGAUGUGAAACUCUGUGAUAUUUUGAAUCAAAGGUGAUUACUUAGAAGAUGGGAGACACUUAUGUUUUUGUGAUAAAAUGCUCAACUUGGAAUGUUUGAAACUUUGAUGUUCUUCGUGUUGAAUUUUCAAUGUAUGAUUACUUAUGGAUUAUUUUGAGACACUAUUGAUGAGAAUUAUAAGUUGAGAAGAAUUUAUUUUGAUUGUGAGUUGAGGAUUUUGCUUGAGGACAAGUAAACGCUUAAGUAUGGGGUUAUUUGAUAAACCGUAAUUUAUAUAUAUUUUUAUCUCAUACUUAGCACAUUUUUGGAUGAAUUAUCCUUAGAUUUGGUGAAUUUGAUGCUCCUAAUUCUUUAAUUUCAUGUUUUAUACUUAGGUGAGCAUAGGAGAGUAAAAAGAGCGAGAAACGGGCCAAAAACGGAGAAAAUGGGUCAGCGUGGGAAAUCAACACGGCCUGGGCUCCCUCACAUGGGUAGUUCACACGCCCGUGUAGUUUUAGCAAACUCUAACACGGCCUAGACUUCCUUACACGAGUAGACCACACGCCCGUGUAGUUUUAGCAGACUCUAACACGGCCUAGACUUCCUUACACGGGUAGACCACACGCCCGUGUCUAUUUAACAGACUCGAACACGGGUUGAAGCACUUGCACACGGACAUGUCCCUGUUGAGCCCAAGUCUAGUCCUAUUCAAAAAAGGCCACUCUUGAGGGUUUUGAAGGAUUCAAAAGCCUAUAUAAACACCCCAGAAGGUACCUAAGAGACACACAGAGGGUAGGAAGCAAGGAAUUACACGAAGAAAGCUGAUUGAUCCAUCUCAGAAGCCGGAUUCUCCUUCAAGACUAAAGAUCUCCCUUCAAUUCCCUUCAAGAGUUUUUGGGUUUUCUUUAUGUUUUGUUAUCAUUAUUCUUUUGAGGUGUUUUCCUUCACACUUAUGAACUAAACCCCCCAAAUACCUAAGGGGAAUGAAACCUAAGAUGGAUCUUGUUAUUAUUUUCUAAAUUAUAUGAUAAAUAUUUGGUUUGUUCUUAAUUCUUAUUUUAAUAUUUCAGAAUAUUGAUUCAAGUAUUGAUGUGUUUAUUUAGAGGAGCAAAAGUCCCUGUCUAAGAGUAGAUCUAGCAUAAUUGAGCAGAGUUGAUUGCACGCCUAGACAUAGGGUGACAUAAUUUUGCCGGAUUAGGGUGAAACCUAAUAAAGGAAUCUAUAAAUCGAGUUAAUACAACACUAGGGGUUUUAAUUAGAAAGAUAUUUCAAUUAAUCAACCUAGGGUUAGACAUUGUUAGUCUCGAGAGAGAUAAUAAUAUAAAUUAGGGAUUUCUACUGAUCAAGUCAAAUGAAUAAAUCGUCUAACUUAGAGUCAAUAACAAGUGAAGUCUAAGUGGAUUUUUCGCUUGGUUAUUGUCCAAAUCAUUCAGUUUUCCUACAAGAUAUUUCCCCAAUUUACUUUCUGUGCAUUCUUAGUUUAGUAAUUAGUUUAGAUAAAACAAACCCCUUUAUUUUUAGGCUAGAUAAUAAAAAGAAAGUUAAUACUAGUACUUUUAGUUCCUUUGGGUUCGACAUCCGGGUCUUGCCAUAAGCUAUACUACUGUUUGAUAAGGUGCGCUUGCCUUUGUCAUGAUAAUAGUUAGUUUUCAAGAACGGACAUUCAUAAAUUAUAAAACUUAUUACGAUUCACAUCAAUCAUAUACAAUUACUAUGAUAAAAUAUAUAAAUAAUUCAAAAUCAAAUUAUUAUGGAUCAUAAACACAAAAACACAAUUUUCUCUAAAUUGAAUUAUGGUAACAAAUUAUGCACAACAUUGAAUAAAUUAACAUGACAUAAAAACAAUAAAAAAUAAUCUAAAAAUAAAAGGACCAAAACUAAAACUUCACUAUUUUAUUAAUAAUAUAAGUAAAGGAAAAACAUCCCUUAAAAAUGAAAGAAAAGCCAAGUCCAAAUAACACGCAUCAAAAGGAGAAAGCUUUUCUUUUACAUUACUUUUAUAUAUAGUUUAUAGAUAUAUACUGAUAUUGAUAUAUUUUAAUGUAUCAUUUUAAUUGUAUUGAUAUUUUAAAUAGGUUUAAAUAUGACUAAAGUCCCUAAGCUUCAGUCCCUCAACUUUUAUUUCCUAUGCUUCCAAGAAAUAUUUUUAAGAUAAAAAACAUUUGUAAAAAAAGAGAUGAUUGUAUGAAACAAAUAUAUUAUUUCUUUUUAAUAAUUUAAUACCACAUCAACAAUUUAAUUUUAAAUUUCAAAAUUUUCAAUUAGAUUUAACUUUUUUCAAGUUAAAAAUAUUAAAAUUUAAGAUAAAUAUGUUAAUAUUAGAAAAAAGAUAAAAUUAUGUGGCCUCCAUGCAAUCCUUCAUUUUUCAAAUAAAAAAAAAGCUAAAAUUUUUACUUUAAAGUAUCUUAUUUAAUAUGUUUAGCAUUGCUAAACUAAACAUUAAUCUCUCUAUUCAUCUAAUUUAAAAAUUAGAAUUCCUUUAAUAACAUUGUUAAUGCAAUUUUACGAUAUAAUAAAAUUUAAUUAAUAAUUUUAUGAAUGAAAAACUUAGGGGUACAUUUACACAAAAUCGUUCAUAAAAAUAAUAAAAUAUAAAAGCCAAAUAUUCGUUAAAAGUAAACACAAGUAUAAGAGGAAAAAGUUAUAGGCACAUUGAGACGUAAGGUGUAGCUGGUCCCCUAAAAGCAAGCGUAUGGAUGGUAAUUAAACACAUCCCCUUGAAAAAGAUCUAUUACUUGAAGUGAAGUAUUUUAAGAAAAUUGACUUUUGUAUAUUUACAUCUUGACUACACACAUGUUUACUCUAAAUGAAUGGUAAGCAAUGUUGAAAUUAAAUAUCAAGUUUCCAGAUUAGUAGACGCAGCCGCUGCAGUUGACUGGGACCCAUGAUGUUUUUCAUUUUGGUGGGGAAGCUCUUGUGACCAUGGGAUCAAACUCAUCGGUGGAAAACAACAGUCACAGUUGUCUGGACAUGGACGAGGCAAUUCCCAGUUACUUGCCAAUAUUUCUUGCUUUGUCCCUCCUUGUUGGGACCCAGCUUCCACUACUGGACCCCAACACUCUACUUUGUUGAAUUCCGGAAUGUUUGAGUGAAAAUAAACCCAUACCAAUGCUUCCUGUAAUUCUGGGUAGUUCUUUAGCAAAUUCCCGUCUCCAUGGACAAACGCCUUCAGUACCUUUUUUUUUUUCAAUUUCCAGAAGAUUAAAUACAGAGAAAUGAUAAUAAAGAAUAUCAACAAAAAAUGAAUGAUCAAAAAACGUACCACGGGUAGUUCAUUGCAGAAGAUGAAGUAUCUAAGUCUAGCACACAAGUCCAAGAGGAAAUGGCCCCCGCUUAUGUGACAAUGGACGUGUAGUGACAUUUUUCCCUUCACUUUCUUCCAUUCAGCCACUACUUCGUCCCUGUAUAAUUUGUUCGCCCAACCCUGCAACUGUAAUCAAACCCCAAAUCCCCUGUUUUUUUAUUCUAAAUAAUAAAAAAACAAAAAACUCAAAAGAAAUAUGAGAUAAAAAGAUUUACCUGAGAGUUGUUAAUUGUUUGUGAGAUCGCUAAGGUAAGUUUCGAUGUUAUAUCACUAUGUGUAAGUGUAUAAGUUCUGGGAAGCUUCCCUGGGUGCUUCUUCUCAUCCACUCCUAAAAACAGAACUUUUAGCUUUGAUGCCUCGAAUAUAGCUGGCCCAAACAACCUUGCUACCUGUUUCAAUCCAUUCCAACACGUCAAACCAAUAUAUAAUCUCCCAAGUCCACCCCCCCACCCACAAAAAAAAAAGGAGGAAAGAUUACAGGAACAAUAGGUAGAUUCUUCUUCUUGGAUCUUCUUCUUGAAACAAAAGGAGACUGGUUUUGUUCAAAGACUGAAGGUCUUGGCUUUGUAGGCAGAAUCGGAGCAAAACUCAAAGUUCCCAUGUUAAUCUUGAAGCUCCAACUUUGAUGGAGAGAAGCAGCACCCCCCAACCAAAAAAAAAAACUAUUCAACAAUGAAAUACUACUAAACGGCUAAACCACAAAACAAUAAACCAAGAUAAGUAGGUAUUAGAUAGAGUAUUAUUAGCCAAAAAGAAAGAGAGGAACAAAGAAAAAGGAGAGUGAGACUUGGAAACUUUGGCUACUUUUGUUUGCUUUCAGCUUUUGAUUUUGCUUGUAUGGUAAGCCAACUUGAAGAUCCCAUUGAUUGGAAUUGCGUUUGGGGAAGGGUUUUGAGAUUAAAUAUGAUGUUUAUUUUUCAAGUAAAAAAAAACAAACACAUGAAUAACAGAAUCAAAUUGUAGUCAGUUGGCUACAAAUUUAAAAAAAAAAGACCAGAGAGGUGUUUGACAAUGACACAUGGAUUGGUUUGUGUAACGUGUUGAGUGCGGGUGUUACCCUGAUGUUAUUAGUGACACUUAUUUCAUUAGUUUUAUAUUUAGCAUUUGGGAGCUAUCAUAUUUCAAUUGCCGUGUAAGGUUAGCUGGGAAAUGUGAUUUAGGGGGUCUCAUUAAUAUUAUUAUUGUAGUUUUUAUUGUCGUAUAAAAUUAAUAUAAAUUAUUUACUUUAAUAUAUGUAAACCUAUAAGUUUUUCAAAUAUCAUUAUAAUAUAUAAUAAAAAAUAAGUAAUUAAAUAAUUAACGUGAGUAUAUGGAAUAUUUUAAUUUUAGCCUAAAAAUAUAACGAUGGCAUAUAUUUAAGAGAACGGAGCAAUUCUUAUAUUCUAGAUUAAAUUGCAUUUUAGUUUUUCUACCAAAAAUAAUAAGCACAACUUGAUUAGGUGGAUAAGUAGCUCAUAAAAGAAAGUAAAUAAGAGGGAUAAUUAUUUUUUAUCUUAAGUAUAUCUGAAAAAUAAAUUUUAGUUUAGAAAAGAUAAGAGGAGAGAAAAUGAUAGAGAUGUAUAUGUUAAUUCAAAAUUUUACAUUUUUUAAAUGUUUUAUUUUUUUUCUUUUUUCAACUAUACCAAGUAAUCAAUGAAAAGAAAAUUAUAUGUUCUUUCUAUUUUUUUAUCUCUCCUACUAAGCACACUUACAAAAAAAAUAAUAUGCUUUUUAUCUUUCCACUCACCUAAGCAAAGCCUAAAUGGAGAUAAAUAAUUCCUCAUUAAAAUUUUGUCAUUCAAUACUCUUGAUGUAUAAGUAAGUUGUCUAUUUUUUAAUAAAAAGAUUAAUAUGCAGUCUAAAAUAUAAUAUAAGGAUUGUUAUGAAAAUUUUAUCAAAAACACUAUCCUUCUUGUUUGUACUAGUGUAGGCCAUUUUGCAAUGAUUCUAGCGCAUCGUUCUAACAAUAAAUUUGUGUAAUCAAUUCCUCUUUUUUUUUUGUAUUGGAACAUUUUUAAAUAUUUAUAGUGUUCCAAUAACUAUAAAUGAAUGGGGUGUAAUUAAUCAAAAAGUUAUAUUAUUUAAUUUUUUAAAAAAGAAUUAUAACUAUUUAAAUAAUAUUAUUUGAAUAGUAUUAAAUGAAUAAUUAUGUGUUUAUUUUAAAGACAUUAUUAUUCAGAAAGACACCUAUUAAUGAAAGAUGUCUUUAUAAAGAGACAUGAAAAUUCCUAUAAAUAGGAAUGGGAUUUCAUUUGGAAAUCAUAUCAAUAAAUUCUCAUAUUCUUUCUUUCCUUCCUUCUUUUUCUAAUAUUUUUAGAUUAUUCUAUAAAGUAUUACUGUAGAAAUCCUUUAUAGAAAUUGAGUUUCUUGCCAUACAUUGCUCAGUGUGUAGUGGGCUAUUCUCAUCAAUGCAAAACGCAAAUAGUCAUUGGCUUCAUUGUAUCCUCGAGGUUAAUUUGCUUGAAACUCAUUUGCACACUGAAGAUAGGUGAGGGCGAAUAUAACCUUAAAGAUAGUGACUUGAUACACGCCUUGAAGCCUUGUCCUAUUUCUUCUUAUGUUCGAGUUUCAUUAGUGUGUUCGAGAUUUUCCUCACCGGAGAUUUGUACUAACAAUUUUAAGGUCAUAUUUCAUGAUGACUACUACAACACAUGAAAGUGGAACACUAAGGGAGCUGGCUUCCAAUUUUGUUGAACUUGAUCGAUUUGAUGGUGGCAAUUUUUGAUGAUGGCAGAAAAAGAUGCACUUCUUAUUAUCAACUUUGAAGAUUGUUUAUAUUUUGGAUACUCUAAGACCUGAAGAGACUGAAAAUGAAUCUGUUGCUACAACCCGAGAAAGACAAAAAUGGGACAAUACUGAUUACAUGUGCAUGGGCCACAUAUUGAAUGGUUUAUCUGAUGGUUUGUUCGACACCUACCAAAACAAUGACAUUGCUAAAGAAUUAUGGGGCAAAUUGGAGACAAGAUACAUGACCGAAGAUGUUACAAGUAAGAAAAUUCUUACCAGUCAUUUCAAUAAUUAUCAAAUGGUUGAUGGUCAUUCUGUUAUGGAACAAUUCCAUGAUAUUGAAAAGAUGCUGAAUCAAUUCAAGCAAUAUGAUAUGAAAAUGGAUGAAAUGAUUGUUGUAUCCUUCAUAAUAGACAAACUUCCUCCAUCUUGGAAAGACUUUAAAAGAAGUCUAAAACAUAAGAAAGAGGAAAUAUCUCUUGAGGCUUUGGCAAAUCAUCUUCGUAUUGAAGAAGAAUAUCGAAAGCAGAUCAGAAUAUAAAUUCUAAAAAUGCCAAAGUGCAUGUUACAGAGGAAGUACAUACUACUAAACCAUUCAAGAGAAAGUUCAAACAGACUGAUAGAGCACAUAAGUUCAAAAAGAAAUAAAAGGGCUCAUGCUAUCAUUGUGGUAAGCAGGGACAUUUCAAGAAUAAAUAUCAAUUUUUAAAGAAGAAAUCAUCUUCUAAAGCUGAUAAUAACGAAAAGUUUGUUGCAAUGACAUCUGAAAUUAAUAUGGCACAAGAUGACAAUAUAUGGUGGAUUGAUACCGAAGCAACCAAACAUGUGUGCAAAGACAAAAGCAUGUUCACAAAGUUCUCACAAUGUGAAAAUGACAAUGUCUUGUA
rnacentral:lncRNA from 1 species